rnacentral:lncRNA from 1 species
UAAGCAAUAAAUCUCUUUCACUCACAAAAAGGUAGAAAUUGCAAUGCGGCCAUCCCAGCAUAUCAAAACAUUUCUGGUUGUGGCGAUGACCUUUUUUCCCAUAUGAUCCUAGAAAAUGGAUCGGGUUCCACUAUCAAGGGAUAACGAAACAACAAAUGCACAAAAAACAUCCCAGUGCAAGAACAUAGCCUAAAACUGGUUUCAACUGCUAACAACAAAAGCUAAUGGAUCCAAAUCUACUGCAAGUUGACUUGGGGUUCACAAUCAUCCCAAGCAAAAUGUUUUCGAUCACUAGCAUCAUCAUUCAGAAAACUCCAUUGCAUCGUUCCUCGUCCAGUAUUUCUCCAUUAGUUCACCUUCACCCACUUCUUGCUCCUCAUUUUCUCCAGCAUUACUCGCCUCGAUCCUCAACACAAGAUUUCUUGGCUCCGUGCGCCCACCAACAUGAUGUGCCAAUGCUUCUCGCUUCAAAGCAACAACACCUUGUUCCAGAAUCGCACACUCUUCAUUAUUUUGUAGAUUUGCCCAAUAAAGGAUAAACAUGCAUGCAUAACAAACGAAUUCAGCAAGAGAUCUAGUAAUUUUUUUCUCAAAACAAUAUCUAUUACAUAACUUGGAUGGGAAUGUAGUGGCUUAUCGUGAAGGUGAUGCACUCAUGGACUUGUAGUAGAGCUGGUAGCUGCCACAACAGCUUCCCUAUAUGUGGGUGGCCUUGAGGCAGGCGUCGCAGAGGGGCAUCUCUCCUCCAUCUCCUAUUAGGUCACAUCUGUGGAGUCCCUCGGUGUCUACCAUGACGUUGCUAUCAGGUCCCAUGGCUAUGGCUACUUUCAAGUUCCACUCACAGAUUGAUGAUGAGAUCUGAUCUAUUAGAUCCCAAAAUACCUAAAGCAUUAUAUCUCUGUGAGCAUGCAUGCUAAAGGUAGCAGAUCAAACCCAAACAAACAAGUAAAAAAGACCAAGACACUCACCGUCCUCUUGGGGUGGAAAUUGAUGUAGUCAUAGCCACACGACCUGUAAGCAAAUUUGUGGCAGAUGCGCAAGGAAGCCACGGGAGCGACCUGGUCAUCGAUCUAGAAGAGUUGGCCCUCCGUAACACCUGUCUCUUGGUCAUCAUUGAGGCCAGGAAUGGCUGGUUUGUCAUUGCUACCGAUGGUCGCCAAACCAAUGGAUCUAGGAGGUGGCGACGUCAUCAGAGCCAGGGUGGAACGCUUGCCAUUGGUAGUCGUUGUUCACUAACCCGAGGAGUGAAGAUUACUAUACUAUGGGUAACCGGCUGGUCUAGUUGUAUCGACUAUAUAUUGAGUCCUCUCUUAUCGACAUCGAGUCCUCUUGUCCGCCGGAUGCUCUCUCCGGUAUGCUUUUGUAUAGGUGCUAAUUAAUGAAAUUUAUUUGCUACCUUUUAGAUAGGCUUCAGGUGUAAUUGUUAGAGACGCGUAUUUUUUGUGUAUCUGCAUGCUGGAGAGUUGCGGCAAUUGGGUCCACAUUCUAGUCUAUAUGCGUGUGAUGGGCUGCUGCAUGUAGGUAGAUAUGGACUACAAAGUUCUUCUAUCUAUUUAGUGCGAUAUCACUACUAAUUAAUGUUUGAGAUAGAGUAGAUAUCACUACAAAUUAAUGUUUGAGAUAGAUUAGAUCAACUUUUACCACAUCGUGGUCAAUGAUCGUUGACUCGUGAGGGGUCCCUCGCCGCCUUUCUUGGUCAAGGCAUCUCCAACACCGACCCUCAAGCCUCCUGCAUCCGCCCGGACAGUGAAAGCUAUCCAACGUGCUCCUGUAUCGGUACGAGGCGCGGUCCAGAUGUAUACUUUCUCCUGCAAAUGGGAGACAAACGUGGGGAGUGGGAGGGGGGCUUUGCGGGAGUCUGCACCGCUCCCACGCCCGCUUCUGACCACCCUGGCCCGCCCAAACCUCCUUCUGCAUCCCGCGCGCUUCCCGCCCGACGCCAACUGCCCACAUUCACGCCGCUGUAGAGCGCGGCGCCCCACAUAUUGAAGCGGCGCACCCCCCGAUGACGCCGGCCACUGCACGCCCGACUGAACACGUCUCCAUUAAACCCGUGUGAAAGCUGAGGAACCUACUCCAGCCACACGUUCGUUCACGAGCGGGCCGACAUUAAAUGCAACGCCGGGAAAGCUCCUCCCAUGUGCCCUCUAUUUAAACAAGGCCAGACGUCGGGCAAGAAACGCACCACUCCGCCGCUCCCCAUCUCAUCCUUCCACAAUUUUCUUCGCCCUUUUGAUGGCAUCCGGUGAGCACUAAGAGCAUUUCCCCCGCAUAAAAGCCAGCUAGGUGUCCCACCGAGCCCGCCGAAUACGAGUGAUGCCGCUCACUGCUCCACCUCCCUCGUCUGGCCCGACGGAGCAAGUUGCCACCCCAAACUGACGCAUGGUUCACCACCUCGCCGCUCCAAGCCAGCUCACAAGGGAGCGGCCAUUUGCUCUAGGACGACACGACGACAUAGGCAUCGUAGCACCCAUGGUGACGCUGCGUCAUACUGCGUCUCUGAUGCCUAGGACCGUGCCAUCCGCCAGCAACGCGUGUGUAGCCGUGCGCUGCUGGCAGAGAAAGAAGCUGGCAGCAUAGAGAUCGAUGAGUCGGUGGAUGGCACGUCCACGUCCGCCGCCAACAUCGAGGGAAAGUAGAACACGGAGUAUAGCUGAUGACCUGUCCGGUUCUUCUUUAUCUCAGACCAUCAUUGGCCCCGCCUAGGCUCCACGAAAGCGGAGCCCCCCCUUCCCUCCAGCUGAAGCACCCUCUUUGCCACCGCGAUGAGUGGCGCGACCAAACAUAGGGAAGAUACGAGGGAAGAAUAUACCUCUGGGGCUCCCGACAGUCCGGGUAGUGGGCUGCCGGACAUGGAGAAGACAAAGGGAUCCUUCGCGUCCAGCCGUAGACUAGUGUAGUGUUUCUGUGUCGUGGGAGUGGAGCUCCACGCGACUGUAUGUGCACAUAGUUUUAUCUUUUUUGUUAAAAAUAUGUCCAAAUUGUAACUGUUUUCGUCCAGUUUGAAUGAAAUCCAUCAUGUUUAUAUGAAAUCCACCCAUGUUUGCAUGAAUUUCAUCCGGUUUGCUGAAAAAAUGUUUGCAAUGUAUGCGGCUACGAUUGGAUAGCGGCCUCCCGCAUCCGUUUGCUGGCUGCUAUUGGAGAUGCCCUCAAGCCAGCGUUUGGGCGGGUGUAAGGUGUCCCAUCAUCGGUACAGACAAAGUAUUGUAGGAUUUCUGAUCAAUAGAACUGGAAAGUCUCCGGGUGUGGAAACAUCCUCAUAAUCUUUACUACUCCAUCAUGAUUUAUAUGCCUCGCACAUAUUUCAAUAUAAACAUUGAAAAUUAAUUUAUUCAACAAAAUAUUAGUUAUAUGUCACAAAAACAAAACGUUAGAUUCACAUUCUAAACAAGUUUCCAAUGGUAUAGUUUUUGUGACAUAUAACUCAUAUUUUAUUGAUAAAUCAACGUACAUUUUUUUAUUGAAAUGCUUAAGACUUAUGAAUCAUGUUAGAGGUUAGACUCCACGAAUGACGAAAUUUAUCCCCAAGGUAUCUCUGACAAAAUUGUUACUCUAAUGUCACUUAUCAACAUGUGAUCCAAGUCAUAGCAAUAUCCAACCAAUAAUCCAAUGAAUAACGUAAUCAUAUCAUUUCCACUUACUCCGUAAGCAAUAAUAUCAAAUAUGAUCAUAUGAAAAUAUAGCUAAUGACCCUACUAAUCCGAUGGUAACAUGCCAAUAUCCAACUUGUAAACUACUCUACUAGUCACAAGAAAUCCAAGCAAUAACACGGCAAGAGAUAAUUCUAAUAAUUCCUCCAAGAUUGCCAUGAAUAAAUCAUCAUCAAGUAAUUCAAAAUAAAUCGAGUUUUAUUAUAUUAACCAUGGAAUUUCAUUGCAAUUAUGCAAGUGGAGGUUGUGGCUUGCCUUGCUCCAAGCGAGUGUUGCGAGUACUCUUGGUCUUCAUCAAACAGUGCUAACACUCUGGAAAACAAUAUUAACAAGCAAAAUAAAUUCUCUAUCUAGAAAUUCUAGACAACAAAGAAAAGUGUGAAACUCUACCAGAAAAUAAAGGAGCUCACAAGAGAAAAAAAUGCAAAAAGAAUCAACUCAUUUGGACUUGUAGUUUAGGAGCAAUGGAUGGUGAAAGUUGUGGUCAAACUGGAUUAAAAUAGCGUUAAAAUGGAUUUUCUGGAAUCUCCAUGGGCCGACGUCGAAGACUUAAACAAGGAAUACACUUUGACUUAAAUAUUUGGAUAUAUCUUCAAACAUGAUAUUUAAGAAUAGGAGAUUAAAUUGAAGAAGCCAUUGUUAACAAUGACAAAAGCAACAUGUGGGCAUGGAUCAAAACAAGGGAUAUUUACUUUGACAGUCUAAAAUUUGUGAUGUAUCUUGAGUCCAAACUGUAACGACUCUCAUGUUUAACGACGAUUGAGGUGUUUGGAAGUAUUGUUUGAAUACAUCCUCAAACAUAAUAUUUUUUAAAAAUUAAGUGAACAAAACAAAAAAAAUAUUGUGUGGGUUGGGGUGAAGUGUGUGUGGGGGAGGGGGUGGGGGGUGGGGGGGAUUAUUAUCGGAUAGUAUAUUUCACCUAAUUUUGUAACGCAAGCAUCCUGGUCAAUAUGUCCUCAAGAUACAUUCACACCUUUCCCCUCCCGGGCCGCUCGCGCGGGCGGCUCCGGAAGAAAAAACCUAGAUCCAAGCGCCCCUCCUCCCGAAGACAUCCUGGCCGCCGCCGUCGCCGCCGGCGGCGGUGGCGGCGCCCGGCUGCCAAAGGCAGCGGGCAAGAUCUGCACGCCCUGACAUGGCUCCUUCGCGCGGGCGAGCACCGUCUUGUGGGCGUCGUGACCGCUGGCGGUUCUGGUGCGGUGGCGCGCGGCAGAGAGCACUGGAGGAGGAGGAGCACGGUCGCGAGGUGGAGAGGGGUGGCGGUCUUCCUCGGGCGCCGGCGUGUGUGUCGGAGGCCGCGGCGCGGGGUCCCUGGCGGCUGCAGAUCUUGGAAUGGAGUGGUGACCGGGCGCGGCGGCCGGGAGUUGCGGUGGUGUCCGGGGCGUGCGGUGUGCUUCCUGCCGGCGCUAGAGUGGCUCGGGGAAGGCAGCGCCUUGGAUUGCUAGUGGCAGGGAUGUAGCUGGCAUGUAGGCAUUGGGGUCAAUUGACCCCAAUGGAUUUACUAAAUCCUUCAUUAUCUUAGUACUAAUCACUGUUGAUUUAUAGAAGAUGACCCCAUUGCCAUGGAUAUGACCCCAUCAAGCUUUUUUCUAGCUUCGUCCCUGGCUGGUGGUGGCGCGGUCAGGAUCUGGCCAGAGCUCGGUUCAGGAAAUCGCAAAGGGAGCACCUUGGUGGUGCGUGCGUUCGCUGGAGGCGCAGUGCGCUGGCUCCUCCCGUCCGUGCCCCUGGUCGCAGCGGCUUGGCUGGCUGCCAGAGUGGUUUGGCCAGCCCACGCCUGUGGUGCCGGCGGGUCUUGGCAGCGCCAGGGAGGGUGGCUUGGAGCUGGUGACGUUUGUCUUUCGACCGUGCAGGAGCUGGAGGUUGGCCGGCGUGGUCUCGGCUGUGUGAUGGGUCGGUGUUCCGCGACGGUUUUGGCCAUGAUGGCAAGGCGCUGCUGCAACGACGGUGUAACCCUGACAGAUUAGCCCAAUCCUUGGAUAGGGGUGGGAGGUGUGCGACUGUUGGAUGAAAAUCCUGCUCGUGUCUUCGGCCGGAGCUGGCGGCGACGGUGCCUGAGGGAGUCGUUUCCCUCCUUGGAGGUGUCGCUGAGGUGUGUCGGCAUCUCCCCUUCUUGAUCGGGAUGUGGUCUCCAGGCGAAAGCCUUGGUCUAUUGUAGGACUGGCGAUGGCGACGGUAUAACGUCGUUACUCUAUUGAGAGCAUCGUAGGCGGAGACUUGGCUUGCUGAUUCUGUCUGGUGGUUCUCCGGUGCUUGCCGCUGGUUCGAGUCGAUCUUUGUGGGCGCUAUGUACGUAGCCGCCGGUGAACUGAAGACGAUGGCUUUCUCGGGACCGACCGAGUCCCGCUACCCACCCGCCGUCUCCUCUUAGGCAUUCAAAGGUGGUAGUGCGUGUUGGAAAUAUGCCCUAGAGGCAAUAAUAAAAGGGUUAUUAUUAUAUUUCCUUGUUCAUGAUAAUUGUCUUUUAUUCAUGCUAUAACUGUAUUAUCCGGAAAUCGUAAUACACAUGUGAAUACAUAGACCAUAACAUGUCCCUAGUGAGCCUCUAGUUGACUAGCUCGUUGGUCAACAGAUAGUCAUGGUUUCUGACUAUGGACAUUAGAUGUCAUUGACAACGGGAUCACAUCAUUAGGAGAAUGAUGUGAUGGACGAGACCCAAUCCUAAGCAUAGCACAAGAUCGUGUAGUUAGUUUUGCUAGAGCUUUUCCAAUGUCAAGUAUCUCUUCCUUAGACCAUGAGAUCGUGUAACUCCCGGAUACAGUAAGAGUGCUUUGGGUGUACCAAACGUCACAACGUAACUGGGUGACUAUAAAGGUGCACUACAGGUAUCUCCGAAAGUGUCUGUUGGGUUGACAUGGAUCGAGACUGGGAUUUGUCACUCCGUAUGACGGAGAGGUAUCUCUGGGCCCACUCGGUAAUGCAUCAUCACAAUGAGCUCAAAGUGACCAAGUGUUUGGUCACGGGAUCAUGCAUUACGAUACGAGUAAAGUGACUUGCCGGUAACGAGACUGAACGAGGUAUUGGGAUACCGACGAUCGAGUCUCGGGCAUGUAACGUACCGAAUGAGAAAGGGAAUUGUAUACGGGGUUGUUCUAAUCCUCGACAUCGUGGUUCAUCCGAUGAGAUCAUCGAGCAGCAUGUGGGAGCCAACAUGGGUAUCCAGAUCCCGCUGUUGGUUAUUGCCCGAGAGCCGUCUCGGUCAUGACUACGUGUCUCCCGAACCCGUAGGGUCUACACACUUAAGGUUCGGUGACGCUAGGGUUGUAUGAAUAUGAGUAUGCAGUAUACCGAAUGUUGUUUGGAGUCCCGUAUGAGAUCCCGGACGUCACGAGGAGUUUCGGAAUGGUCCGGAGGUAAAGAAUUAUAUAUAGGAAGUGGUAUUUCGGCCAUCGGGAAAGUUUCGGGGUCACCCGGUAUUGUACCGGGACCACCGGAAGGGUCCCGGGGGUCCACCGGGUGGGGCCACCCAUCCCGGAGGGCCCCAUGGGCUGAAGUGGGAGGGGAGCCAGCCCAUAGUGGGCUGGUGCGCCCCCCUAGGCCCACCCCCUGCGCCUAGGGUUGAAACCCUAGGGUGGGGGGCGCACCACAUGCCUUGGGGGGCACUCCUCCCCCCUUGGCCGCCGCCCCCUUGGGAGAUUGAAUCUCCCAGGGCCGGCGCCCCCCCUUGGGGGCCUAUAUAAAGGGAGGGGGGAGAGGGGCAGCCGCACCCUGAAGUCCUGGCGCCCCCUCCCCCUGCUACACCUCUUCCUCCUCCGUCACGUGCUUGGCGAAGCCCUGCCGGACUGCUGCUGUUCCACCACCACCACGCCGUUGUGCUGCUGCUGGAGCCAUCAUCAUCAACCUCUCCUCCCCCCUUGCUGGAUCAAGAAGGAGGAGACGUCACACGCACCGUACGUGUGUUGAACGCGGAGGUGCCGUCCGUUCGGCGCUAGGAUCUCCGGUGAUCUGAAUCACGGCGAGUACGACUCCAUCAUCACCGCUCCCUCUAACACUUCCGUAUGGGAUCUACAAGUGGUAUGUAGAUGCAAACUCACUCCCUUGACUCAUUGCUUAGAUGAACUCAUAGAUGGAUCUUGGUGAAACCGUAGGAAAAUUUUUAAUUUUCUGCAACGUUCCCCAACAGUGGCAUCAUGAGCUAGGUCUAUGCGUAGUUCUCUAUUGCACGAGUAGAACACAAUUUUGUUGUGGGCGUAGAUCUUGUCAACUUGCUUGCCGCUACUAGUCUUAUCUUGCUUUAGCGGUAUUGUGGGAUGAAGCGGCCCGGACCAACCUUACACGUACGCUUACGUGAGACCGGUUCCACCGACUAACAUGCACUAGUUGCAUAAGGUGGCUGGCGGGUGUCUGUCUCUCCCACUUUAGUUGGAGCGGAUUCGAUGAAAAGGGUCCUUAUGAAGGGUAAAUAGAAGUUGACAAAAUCACGUUGUGGUUAUUCGUAGGUAAGAAAACGUUCUUGCUAGAACCCAAUUGCAGCGACGUGAAAGAUGCAACAACAAUUAGAGGACGUCUAACUUGUUUUUGCAGCAAUUGUCAUGUGAUGUGAUAUGGCCAGAAGUUGUGAUGAAUGAUGAAUGAUAUAUUGUGAUGUAUGAGAUCAUGUUCUUGUAAUAGGAAUCACGACUUGCAUGUCGAUGAGUAUGAAAACCGGCAGGAGCCAUAGGAGUUGUCUUUAUUUUUGUAUGACCUGCGUGUCAUUGAAGAAUGCCAUGUAAACUACUUUACUUUAUUGCUAAACGCGUUAGUCAUAGAAGUAGAAGUAGUCGUUGGCGUGACAACUUCAUGAAGACAUGAUGAUGGAGAUCAUGAUGAUGGAGAUCAUGGUGUCAUGCCGGUGACAAGAUGAUCAUGGAGCCCCGAAGAUGAAGAUCAAAGGAGCUAUAUGAUAUUGGCCAUAUCAUGUCACUACUUUAUAUAAUUGCAUGUGAUGUUUAUUAUGUUUUAUGCAUCUUGUUUACUUAGAACGACGGUAGUAAAUAAGAUGAUCCCUUGCAACAAUUUCAAGAAGUGUUCUCCCCUAACUGUGCACCGUUGCUAAAGUUCGUCGUUUCGAAGCACCACGUGAUGAUCGGGUGUGAUAGAUCCUUACGUUCACAUACAACGGGUGUAAGACAGUUUUACACAUGCAAAACACUUAGGGUUAACUUGACGAGCCUAGCAUGUACAGACAUGGCCUCGGAACACGGAGACCGAAAGGUCGAACACGAGUCGUAUGGAAGAUACGAUCAACAUGAGAAUGUUCACUGACGAUGACUAGUCCGUCUCACGUGAUGAUCGGACACGGCCUAGUCAACUCGGAUCGUGUAACACUUAGAUGACUGAGGGGAUGUCAAAUCUGAGUGGGAGUUCAUUAAAUAAUUUGAUUGGAUGAACUUAAUUAUCAUGAACUUAGUCUAAAAUCUUUGCAAAAUAUGUCUUGUAGAUCAAAUGGCCAACGCUCAUGUCAACAUGAACUUCAACGCGUUCCUAGAGAAAACCAAGCUGAAAGAUGAUGGCAGCAACUAUACGGACUGGGUCCGGAACCUUAGGAUCAUCCUCAUAGCUGCCAAGAAAGCAUAUGUCCUUGAAGCACCAUUAGGUGACCCACCUACUCUCCCAGCACUGCAAGACGAUUUGAACGUUUGGCAGACACGUGCUGAUGAUUACUCCCUCGUUCAGUGCGGCAUGCUUUACAGCUUAGAACCGGGGCUCCAAAAGCUUUUUGAGCAACACGGGGCAUAUGAGAUGUUCGAGGAGCUGAAACUAGUUUUCCAAGCUCAUGCCCGGGUCGAGAGAUAUGAAGUCUCCAACAAGUUCUAUAGUUGUAAGAUGGAGGAAAACAGUUCUGUCAGUGAGCAUAUACUCAAAAUGUCUGGGUUGCACAGCCGCCUGUCCCAGCUGGACAUUAACCUCCUGGAUGAGGCGGUCAUUGACAGAAUCCUUCAGUCGCUCCCACCAAGCUACAAGAGCUUUGUGAUGAACUAUAAUAUGCAGGGGAUGGUGAAGACCAUUCCUGAAGUAUUUUCAAUGCUGAAGUCGGCAGAGGUUGAAAUCAAGAAAGAACAUCAAGUGUUGAUGGUUAAUAAGACCACUAAGUUCAAGAAGGGCAAGGGUAAGAAGAACUUCAAGAAGGACGGCAAAGAUGUUGCCGCGCCCGGUAAGCCAGUUGCCGGGAAGAAGUCAAAGAAUGGACCCAAGCCUGAGACUGAGUGCUUUUAUUGCAAGGGGAAGGGUCACUGGAAGCGGAACUGCCCCAAAUACUUAGCGGAUAAGAAGGCCGGCAACAGUAAAGGUAUAUUUGAUAUACAUGUAAUUGAUGUGUACCUUACCAAUACUCGUAGUAACUCCUGGGUAUUUGAUACCGGUGCCGUUGCUCAUAUUUGUAACUCAUAGCAGGAGCUGCGGAAUAAGCGGAGACUGGCGAAGGACGAGGUGACGAUGCGCGUCGGGAAUGGUUCCAAGGUCGAUGUGAUCGCCGUCGGCACACUACCUCUACAUUUACCUACGGGAUUAGUUAUAAACCUUAAUAAUUGUUAUUUGGUGCCAAGUUUGAGCAUGAACAUUGUAUCUGGAUCUCGUUUGAUACGAGAUGGAUACUCAUUUAAAUCCGAGAAUAAUGGUUGUUCUAUUUAUAUGAGAGAUAUGUUUUAUGGUCAUGCCCCUAUGGUCAAUGGUUUAUUCUUAAUGAAUCUCGAGCGUAAUGUUACACAUAUUCAUAGCGUGAAUACCAAAAGAUGUAAAGUUGAUAACGAUAGUCCCACAUACUUGUGGCACUGCCGCCUUGGUCACAUUGGUGUCAAGCGCAUGAAGAAGCUCCAUGCUGAUGGACUUUUGGAGUCUCUCGAUUAUGAAUCAUUUGACACAUGCGAACCAUGCCUCAUGGGCAAAAUGACCAAGACUCCGUUCCCCGGAACAAUGGAGCGAGCAACCAACUUGUUGGAAAUCAUACACACCGAUGUGUGCGGUCCAAUGAGUGUUGAGGCUCGCGGAGGAUAUCGUUAUGUUCUCACUCUCACUGAUGACUUGAGUAGAUAUGGGUAUGUCUACUUGAUGAAACACAAGUCUGAGACCUUUGAAAAGUUCAAGGAAUUUCAGAAUGAAGUAGAGAAUCAACGUGACCGAAAGAUAAAAUUCUUACGAUCGGAUCGUGGAGGAGAAUAUUUAAGUCACGAAUUUGGUACACACUUAAGAAAAUGUGGAAUCGUUUCACAACUCACGCCGCCUAGAACACCUCAGCGAAACGGUGUGUCCGAACGUCGUAAUCGCACUCUAUUGGAUAUGGUGCGGCCUAUGAUGUCUCUUACCGAUUUACCGCUAUCAUUUUGGGGAUACGCUCUAGAGACAGCUACAUUCACUUUAAAUAGGGCACCGUCUAAAUCCGUUGAGACGACACCGUAUGAAUUAUGGUUUGGGAAGAAACCUAAGUUGUCGUUUCUAAAAGUUCGGGGAUGCGAUGCUUAUGUCAAGAAACUUCAACCUGAAAAGCUCGAACCCAAGUCGGAAAAAUGUGUCUUCAUAGGAUACCCUAAAGAAACCAUUGGGUAUACCUUCUACUUAAGAUCCGAGGGCAAGAUCUUUGUUGCCAAGAACGGAUCCUUUCUGGAAAAAGAGUUUCUCUCGAAAGAACUAAGUGGGAGGAAAGUAGAACUCGAUGAAGUACUACCUCUUGAACAGGAUAGUAGUGCAGCUCAGGAAAAUGUUCCUGUGAUGCCUACACCAACUGAAGAGGAAAAUAAUGAUGAUGAUCAAGGUACUUCUGAUCAAGUUACUACUGAACUUCGUAGGUCCACAAGGACACGUUCCGCACCAGAGUGGUACGGCAACCCUGUCCUGGAAAUCAUGUUGUUAGACAACCGUGAACCUUCGAACUAUGAAGAAGCGAUAGCGGGCCCAGAUUCCAACAAAUGGCUUGAAGCCAUGAAAUCCGAGAUAGAAUCCAUGUAUGAAAACAAAGUAUGGACUUUGACUGACUUGCCCGAUGAUCGGCGAGCGAUAGAAAACAAAUGGAUCUUUAAGAAGAAGACGGACGCGGAUGGUAAUGUCACCAUCUAUAAAGCUCGACUUGUCGCUAAGGGUUAUCGGCAAGUUCAAGGGAUUGACUACGAUGAGACUUUCUCUCCCGUAGCGAAGCUUAAGUCCGCCCGAAUCAUGUUAGCAAUUGCCGCAUACUAUGAUUAUGAGAUAUGGCAAAUGGACGUCAAAACGACAUUCCUUAACGGUUAUCUUAAGGAAGAGCUAUAUAUGAUGCAGCCGGAAGGUUUUGUCGAUCCUAAGAACGCUAACAAAGUAUGCAAGCUCCAGCGAUCCAUUUAUGGGCUGGUGCAAGCAUCUCGGAGUUGGAACAUUCGCUUUGAUGAGAUCAUCAAAGCGUUUGGGUUUAUGCAGACUUAUGGAGAAGCCUGCGUUUACAAGAAAGUGAGUGGGAGCUCUGUAGCGUUUCUCAUAUUAUAUGUAGAUGACAUACUUUUGAUGGGAAAUGAUAUAGAUUCUUGGACAGCAUUAAGGCCUACUUGAAUAAGUGUUUUUCAAUGAAGGACCUUGGAGAAGCUGCUUACAUAUUAGGCAUCAAGAUCUAUAGGGAUAGAUCGAGACGCCUCAUAGGUCUUUCACAAAGCACAUACCUUGAUAAGAUUUUGAAUAAGUUCAAAAUGGAUCAGUCCAAGAAAGGGUUCUUGCCUGUAUUGCAAGGUGUGAGAUUGAGCUCGGCUUAAUGCCCGACCAUGGCAAAAGAUAAAGAAGAGAUGAUCGUCAUCCCCUAUGCCUCAGCCAUAGGAUCUAUUAUGUAUGCCAUGCUAUGUACCAGACCUGAUGUAAACCUUGCCGUAAGUUUGGUAGGAAGGUACCAAAGUAAUCCCGGCAAGGAACACUGGACAGCGGUCAAGAAUAUCCUGAAGUACCUGAAAAGGACAAAGGACAUGUUUCUCGUUUAUGGAGGUGAUGAAGAGCUCGUCGUAAAGGGUUACGUCGAUGCUAGCUUCGACACAGAUCUGGAUGACUCUAAGUCACAAACCGAAUACGUGUAUAUGUUGAAUGGUGGAGCAGUAAGCUGGUGCAGCUGCAAGCAGAGCGUCGUGGCGGGAUCUACAUGUGAAGCGGAGUACAUGGCAGCCUCGGAGGCAUCGCAUGAAGCUAUUUGGGUGAAGGAGUUCAUCACCGACCUAGGAGUCAUACCCAAUGCGUCGGGGCCGAUCAAACUCUUCUGUGACAACACUGGAGCUAUUGCCCUUGCCAAGGAGCCCAGGUUUCACAAGAAGACCAGGCACAUCAAGCAUCGUUUCAACUCCAUCUGAGAAAAUGUUCAAGAUGGAGACAUAGAUAUUUGCAAAGUACAUACGGAUCUGAAUGUCGUAGAUCCGUUGACUAAACCUCUCUCGCGAGCAAAACAUGAUCAACACCAGAACUCUAUGGGUGUUCGAUUCAUCACAAUGUAACUAGAUUAUUGACUCUAGUGCAAGUGGGAGACUGUUGGAAAUAUGCCCUAGAGGCAAUAAUAAAAGGGUUAUUAUUAUAUUUCCUUGUUCAUGAUAAUUGUCUUCUAUUCAUGCUAUAAAUGUAUUAUCCGGAAAUCGUAAUACACGUGUGAAUACAUAGACCAUAACAUGUCCCUAGUGAGCCUCUAGUUGACUAGCUCGUUGGUCGACAGAUAGUCAUGGUUUCUGACUAUAGACAUUAGUUGUCAUUGACAACGGGAUCACAUCAUUAGGAGAAUGAUGUGAUGGACGAGACCCAAUCCUAAGCAUAGCACAAGAUCGUGUAGUUCGUUUUGCUAGAGCUUUUCCAAUGUCAAGUAUCUCUUCCUUAGACCAUGAGAUCGUGUAACUCCCGGAUACCGUAAGAGUGCUUUGGGUGUACCAAACGUCACAACGUAACUGGGUGACUAUAAAGGUGCACUACAGGUAUCUCCAAAAGUGUCUGUUGAUGCUAGCUUCGACACAGAUCUGGAUGACUCUAAGUCACAAACCGAAUACGUGUAUAUGUUGAAUGGUGGAGCAGUAAGCUGGUGCAGCUGCAAGCAGAGCGUCGUGGCGGGAUCUACAUGUGAAGCGGAGUACAUGGCAGCCUCGGAGGCAUCGCAUGAAGCUAUUUGGGUGAAGGAGUUCAUCACCGACCUAGGAGUCAUACCCAAUGCGUCAGGGCCGAUCAAACUCUUCUGUGACAACACUGGAGCUAUUGCCCUUGCCAAGGAGCCCAGGUUUCACAAGAAGACCAGGCACAUCAAGCAUCGUUUCAACUCCAUCUGAGAAAAUGUUCAAGAUGGAGACAUAGAUAUUUGCAAAGUACAUACGGAUCUGAAUGUCGUAGAUCCGUUGACUAAACCUCUCUCGCGAGCAAAACAUGAUCAACACCAGAACUCUAUGGGUGUUCGAUUCAUCACAAUGUAACUAGAUUAUUGACUCUAGUGCAAGUGGGAGACUGUUGGAAAUAUGCCCUAGAGGCAAUAAUAAAAGGGUUAUUAUUAUAUUUCCUUGUUCAUGAUAAUUGUCUUCUAUUCAUGCUAUAACUGUAUUAUCCGGAAAUCGUAAUACACGUGUGAAUACAUAGACCAUAACAUGUCCCUAGUGAGCCUCUAGUUGACUAGCUCAUUGGUCGACAGAUAGUCAUGGUUUCUGACUAUAGACAUUAGUUGUCAUUGACAACGGGAUCACAUCAUUAGGAGAAUGAUGUGAUGGACGAGACCCAAUCCUAAGCAUAGCACAAGAUCGUGUAGUUCGUUUUGCUAGAGCUUUUCCAAUGUCAAGUAUCUCUUCCUUAGACCAUGAGAUCGUGUAACUCCCGGAUACCGUAAGAGUGCUUUGGGUGUACCAAACGUCACAACGUAACUGGGUGACUAUAAAGGUGCACUACAGGUAUCUCCGAAAGUGUCUGUUGGGUUGACACGGAUCGAGACUGGGAUUUGUCACUCUGUAUGACGGAGAGGUAUCUCUGGGCCCACUCGGUAAUGCAUCAUCACAAUGAGCUCAAAGUGACCAAGUGUUUGUUCACGGGAUCAUGCAUUACGGUACGAGUAAAGUGACUUGCCGGUAACGAGACUGAACGAGGUAUUGGGAUACCGACGAUCGAGUCUCGGGCAUGUAACGUACCGAAUGACAAAGGGAAUUGUAUACGGGGUUUUUCUAAUCCUUGACAUCGUGGUUCAUCCGAUGAGAUCAUCGAGGAGCAUGUGGGAGAAAACAUGGGUAUCCAGAUCCCGCUGUUGGUUAUUGCCCGAGAGCCGUCUCGGUCAUCACUUCGUGUCUCCCGAACCCGUAGGGUCUACACACUUAAGGUUCGGUGAUGCUAGGGUUGUAUGAAUAUGAGUAUGCAGUAUACCGAAUGUUGUUCGGAGUCCCAGAUGAGAUCCCGGAUGUCACGAGGAGUUUCGGAAUGGUCCGGAGGUAAAGAAUUAUAUAUAGGAAGUGGUAUUUCGGCCAUCGGAAAAGUUUCGGGGUCACCCGGUAUUGUACCGGGACCACCGGAAGGGUCCCGGGGGUCCACCGGGUGGGGCCACCCAUCCUGGAGGGCCCCAUGGGCUGAUGUGGGAGGGGAGCCAGCCCAUAGUGGGCUGGUGCGCCCCCCUAGGCCCAUCCCCUGCGCCUAGGGUUGAAACCCUAGGGUGGGGGGGGGCACCACAUGCCUUGGGGGGCACUCCUCCCCCCUUGGCCGCCGCCCCCUUGGGAGAUUGAAUCUCCCAGGGCCGGCGCCCCCCCUUGGGGGCCUAUAUAAAGGGAGGGGGAGAGGGGCAGCCGCACCCUGAAGUCCUGGCGCCCCCUCCCCCUGCUACACCUCUUCCUCCUCUGUCACGUGCUUGGCGAAGCCCUGCCGGAGUGCUGCUGUUCCACCACCACCACGCCGUUGUGCUGCUGCUGGAGCCAUCAUCAUCAACCUCUCCUCCCCCCUUGCUGGAUCAAGAAGGAGGAGACGUCACACGCACCGUACGUGUGUUGAACGCGAAGGUGCCGUCCGUUCGGCGCUAGGAUCUCCGGUGAUCUGAAUCACGGCGAGUACGACUCCAUCAUCACCGCUCCCUCUAACGCGUCCGUACGCGAUCUACAAGUGGUAUGUAGAUGCAAACUCACUCUCUUGACUCGUUGCUUAGAUGAACUCAUAGAUGGAUCUUGGUGAAACCGUAGGAAAAAUUUUAAUUUUCUGCAACGUUCCCCAACAGUGCGUUGGCAAGGAAAAUCCGGUUGGAGUUGUUGCUUUUCGAGGUGACCGGUGUUUGUGGUGACGUGACUAGAUGAUUGGUUUAGGGCAGACCCUUUUGCUUGUGUUUGUAACUGUCGUGGUGGCUAAUCUGUUGAUUAGCUUCGGUGUGGAGUUGUGCUACACUUGUUGUUCGCAGCAAGAUGUAGUUUCUUGUACUUGAUUUCUGCCUUCUAUAAAAAUAUGGUACGCCUAGGCGUACUCUCGAAAAAAAAUAUGUCCUCAAGAUUAGAUCAAGUUACAUAAUCAUGUUGAAGUUAAAUCAUCUUGUUGAAUUAAAAAAUGAUAAUAUUUUUUGAUGUAUGUUGAAUCAAACCUCACUCAAAACGGUGGAGAACAGUUGAAUUGUUGAGAUAUGUGAAUAAUUAUUCCAACUAUAUUUGAAAAUCCAGCAAAUAAUAUGGAGCACUGGUAGAAAAAGAGGCUUCCGUCUAGCCCCAUUAGUCGCGAAACUGUAGGAACCGCGACUAAUGAAGUCUUUAGUCGCGGUUCGGCAGACGAACCGCGACCAAAGUCUUGGGCCAGGGCGCUCGGUGGCCAGCUGGUGCACGUGAGGGGCUUUAGUCGCGGUUGGGCAGGCCAACCGCGACUAAAGGUGCCCAAAGGCCUUUAGUCGCGGUUGGCCUGGCCAACCGCGACUAAAGCUCCUCCCCUAUAUAUACCAGUUCAGCGCACUCACUUAGCCAUUUGGUGCCACUUCUCUUCACAAGGGGGUGUAGGUUUGCUUUUGGUUCCUCUUAUGCACACAAGGUGUUUGAUGAAAUGCCCAACAGCGUGAAACAAACAUGAUAUGAAGUGUUGGAGCCACACUUGAGGUUCCUCCUCGAUCGCGGUUAGCAACUUGAACCUUUCAUGCAUGUGUGUCAUUGAUAAAAUAUGCAUGUGUGUUGUUCAUUGUUUAAUUUCUAUUGUUUAUAGCUAGUUACUUUAACAAAUGCAUGAUGGUUAAUUAUAUAUUUUAUAUUAUAAUAAUGCAGAUGAAUCGGCAAUGGAUGUACGGUAACCGACUCUCCCGCGAGUUCACUACGGGUUUGAAAGAUUUCCUCGUAGUGGCUAAUGCGAACAAGCAGAAGGGUUUUGUUAUCUGUCCUUGUGUUGACUGUAAGAAUCAGAAGGGUUACUCUUCCUCAAGAGAAGUUCACCUGCACCUGCUUCGGCACGGUUUCAUGCCAAGCUAUAAUUGUUGGACCAAGCAUGGAGAAAGAGGGGUUAUAAUGGAAGAAGAUGAAGAAGGGGAUGAUUUCAUCGAUGAAAGCUAUCUUGCUCAUUUCGGUGAUACUUUCAUGGAGGAUGCUGAAGGUGAAGGGGAAGGUGAAGGGGCAGGUGAAGGGGAAGGUGAAGGGGAAGGUGAAGGUGAAGGUGAAGAAGAGGCACGUGAUGAGACCGUUGAUGAUCUUGGUCGGACCAUUGCUGAUGCACGGAGACGCUGCGAAACUGAAAAGGAGAGGGAGAAUUUGGAUCGCAUGUUAGAGGAUCACAGAAAGUCGUUGUACCCUGGAUGCGAUGAUGGUCUGAAAAAGCUGGGCUGCACACUGGAUUUGCUGAAAUGGAAGGCACAGGCAGGUGUAGCUGACUCGGCAUUUGAAAACUUGCUGAAAAUGUUGAAGAAUAUGUUUCCAAAGAAUAACGAGUUGCCCGCCAGUAUGUACGAAGCAAAGAAGGUUGUCUGCCCUCUAGGUUUAGAGGUUUUGAAGAUACAUGCAUGCAUCAACGACUGCAUCCUCUACCCGCGGUGAAUACGAGAAUUUGAAUGAAUGCCCGGUAUGCACUGCAUUGCGUUAUAAGAUCAGAGGCGAUGACCCUGGUGACGAUGUUGAGGGCGGGAAACCCAGGAAGAGGGUUCCCGCCAAGGUGAUGUGGUAUACUCCUAUAAUACCACGGUUGAAACGUCUGUUCAGGAACAAAGAGCAUGCCAAGUUGUUGCGAUGGCACAAAGAGGACCGUAAGUCGGACGGGGAGUUGAGACACACCGCAGAUGGAACGCAAUGGAGAAAGAUCGACAGAGAGUUCAAAGAUUUUGCAGCUGACGCAAGGAACAUAAGAUUUGGUCUAAGUACAGAUGGCAUGAAUCCUUUUGGCGAGCAGAGCUCCAGCCAUAGCACCUGGCCCGUGACUCUAUGCAUCUACAACCUUCCUCCUUGGUUGUGCAUGAAGCAGAAGUUCAUUAUGAUGCCAGUGCUCAUCCAAGGUCCGAAGCAACCCGGCAACGACAUCGAUGUGUACCUAAGGCCAUUAGUUGAUGAACUUUUACAGCUGUGUGGCAGACCUGGUGUUCGUGUGUGGGAUGAGCACAAAAAAGAGGAAUUUAACCUACGAGCGUUGCUUUUCGUAACCAUCAAUGAUUGGCCUGCUCUUAGUAACCUUUCGGGACUGUCAAAUAAGGGAUACAAUGCAUGCACGCACUGCUUACAUGAGACUGAAAGUGUACAUUUGCCAAAUUGUAAGAAGAACGUGUACCUUGGGCAUCGUCGAUUUCUUCCGAAAAUUCAUCCAGUAAGAAAGAAAGGCAAGCAUUACAACGGCAAGGCAGAUCACCGGCCGAAGCCUGCGGAACGCACUGGUGCUGAGGUAUUUGAUAUGGUCAAGGAUUUGAAAGUCAUCUUUGGAAAGGGUCCUGGCGGACAAUCAGUUCCGAAGGGAGCUGACGGGCACGCAGCCAUGUGGAAGAAGAAAUCUAUAUUCUGGGAGCUAGAAUAUUGGAAAGUCCUAGAAGUCUGCUCUGCAAUCGACGUGAUGCACGUUACGAAGAAUAUUUGCGUGAACCUCCUAAGCUUCUUGGGCGUGUAUGGGAAGACAAAUGAUACAAAGGAAGCACGGCAGGACCAGCAAUGUUUGAAAGACCCUGAUGACCAGCAUCCGGAAUGGUUUCAAGGUCGUGCCAGCUACGCUCUGACCAAAGAAGAGAAGGUCAUCUUUUUUGAAUGCCUGAGCAGUAUGAAGGUCCCGUCUGGAUUCUCGUCCAAUAUAAAGGGAAUAAUAAACAUGGCGGAGAAAAGUUCCAAAACCUGAAGUCUCACGACUGCCACGUGAUUAUGACGCAAUUGCUUCCGAUUGCUUUGAGGGGGCUCCUGCCGGAAAAUGUUCGAGUAGACAUUGUGAAGCUAUGUGCAUUCCUCAAUGCAAUCUCUCAGAAGGUAAUCAAUCCAGAAGAUCUACCACGGUUACAGAACGAUGUGAUCCAAUGUCUUGUCAGUUUCGAGUUGGUGUUCCCGCCAUCCUUCUUCAAUAUUAUGACGCACCUCUUGGUUCACCUAGUCGAAGAGAUUUUCAUUCUCGGUCCUGUAUUUCUACACAAUAUGUUCCCAUUCGAGAGGUUCAUGGGAGUAUUAAAGAAAUAUGUUCGUAACCGUGCUAGGCCAGAAGGAAGCAUCGCCAAGGGCUAUGGAAAUGAGGAGGUAAUUGAGUUUUGUGUUGACUUUGUUCCUGACCUUAAGCCGAUUGGUCUUCCUCGAUCGCGGCACGAGGGGAGACUAAGUGGAAAAGGCACGAUCGGAAGGAAAUCAACGACAUGUAUGGACGGCCAUUCUCUGACUGAAGCACACCACACUGUACUGACCAAUUCCAGCUUGGUGGCUCCGUACUUUGAGAAACACAAGAAUAUUUUACGCUCGGACAACCCGGGGAAGCCUGAAUCCUGGAUUAGGAAGGCCCACAUGGAGACUUUCGGCAGUUGGUUGAGAAAACAUUUAAUGAAUGACAAUGAUGUUGUAGAUCAGCUGUACAUGUUGGCCAAGACACCAUCUUCGACUAUAACGACUUUCCAAGGGUACGAGAUAAAUGGGAAUACAUUUUACACGAUCGCCNNNNNNNNNNNNNNNNNNNNNNNNNNNNNNNNNNNNNNNNNNNNNNNNNNNNNNNNNNNNNNNNNNNNNNNNNNNNNNNNNNNNNNNNNNNNNNNNNNNNNNNNNNNNNNNNNNNNNNNNNNNNNNNNNNNNNNNNNNNNNNNNNNNNNNNNNNNNNNNNNNNNNNNNNNNNNNNNNNNNNNNNNNNNNNNNNNNNNNNNNNNNNNNNNNNNNNNNNNNNNNNNNNNNNNNNNNNNNNNNNNNNNNNNNNNNNNNNNNNNNNNNNNNNNNNNNNNNNNNNNNNNNNNNNNNNNNNNNNNNNNNNNNNNNNNNNNNNNNNNNNNNNNNNNNNNNNNNNNNNNNNNNNNNNNNNNNNNNNNNNNNNNNNNNNNNNNNNNNNNNNNNNNNNNNNNNNNNNNNNNNNNNNNNNNNNNNNNNNNNNNNNNNNNNNNNNNNNNNNNNNNNNNNNNNNNNNNNNNNNNNNNNNNNNNNNNNNNNNNNNNNNNNNNNNNNNNNNNNNNNNNNNNNNNNNNNNNNNNNNNNNNNNNNNNNNNNNNNNNNNNNNNNNNNNNNNNNNNNNNNNNNNNNNNNNNNNNNNNNNNNNNNNNNNNNNNNNNNNNNNNNNNNNNNNNNNNNNNNNNNNNNNNNNNNNNNNNNNNNNNNNNNNNNNNNNNNNNNNNNNNNNNNNNNNNNNNNNNNNNNNNNNNNNNNNNNNNNNNNNNNNNNNNNNNNNNNNNNNNNNNNNNNNNNNNNNNNNNNNNNNNNNNNNNNNNNNNNNNNNNNNNNNNNNNNNNNNNNNNNNNNNNNNNNNNNNNNNNNNNNNNNNNNNNNNNNNNNNNNNNNNNNNNNNNNNNNNNNNNNNNNNNNNNNNNNNNNNNNNNNNNNNNNNNNNNNNNNNNNNNNNNNNNNNNNNNNNNNNNNNNNNNNNNNNNNNNNNNNNNNNNNNNNNNNNNNNNNNNNNNNNNNNNNNNNNNNNNNNNNNNNNNNNNNNNNNNNNNNNNNNNNNNNNNNNNNNNNNNNNNNNNNNNNNNNNNNNNNNNNNNNNNNNNNNNNNNNNNNNNNNNNNNNNNNNNNNNNNNNNNNNNNNNNNNNNNNNNNNNNNNNNNNNNNNNNNNNNNNNNNNNNNNNNNNNNNNNNNNNNNNNNNNNNNNNNNNNNNNNNNNNNNNNNNNNNNNNNNNNNNNNNNNNNNNNNNNNNNNNNNNNNNNNNNNNNNNNNNNNNNNNNNNNNNNNNNNAAAUAACUUAAAACUUGAUAAUUAACAAAAAAACCGUAAAAUUUGAUAAUUAACAAAAAAAACGUAUAUACGGAGAGGGGGCGGCGAGGGGGGCGGCGAUGCGCGCGGUGUUUUUUUAGGGAUCGAGAGGGGACGGCGAGGGUUAUAAAUGUGUUGUCCUCGCCUCCCUCUCCGUGACGCCGUCGUCUGCCUCCCCGUCUCGCGCUCUACCGCGACACCCUCUCCCACCCCUUCCUCGCCCCCUCCUUUUGCCACUGCCCUUUCGCCACCGCCACCGCCACCGCCCCCCUUCUUCACUUAAUUAAUUUGUUUUUACUACAUGUUUUCAGGACUGACAUAAUGGCGGACGAUAGAGCUGACCCGAUUAUGGACAACUAUGAUCCGGACGGUGAAGCACAUAUGUUCGGCAUCAUAAACGGCGAUAUUCUAUAUGUGCCGACCGGACAAGAAGAAGAUGAUAUCUCUUCUUAUCUGAACCUUGACGGUGAAGAUGAAGGGCGCCGUCAGCAAGAUGAUGCCGAACAAACGUCGAUAAACGACGAUCUUCAAAUGGAAGUAGCAACCACCUCCGGCGCCGAGGUAUAUAUAUAUACAUUGAGCCUCUGGUGAUACAAACUAACUGAUUUGAAUAAAUAUGUUUGGACUAACGCGCGCGACUCUCUUUCUUAUUUUAGCCCUCGGCCGGAUCGUCGAAACAAUCGAGUACGUCGUCAAAGCGUGGCGCAACCAAGACGAUGAAACAAGGAGAAACAUGCACCAUCGAGGUUGUCGACAGUGCAACCGGCAGGCCGCUGGAGCCCCGCAAGAACGCCACCAAGUUUGUCAACCAAUGCGGAGCCAUUGUUAGAGACAACGUCUCGAUCACCGUCCAGGAGUGGAAUAAGCCAAAGAAGGCACGAAUUGCUGGUUUCACUUUCGUCGAUAAGAGAACAAAAAGAGAUUGCUUCAAAAAGCUUAUGGAACAUUUCGUUCUACCUCCGGAAUACAACAAAUUCGAUGAGGAGGGUAACAAGAUUGAGGAAAACAAGGAGAGGAGGAGGCUAGUCAAACAGUUCGCUCUUCAUAAGAUGGCCGACGCAUUCCGGAAAUUCAAGCAAAAUCUAGCCCAUGACUUUGUCAAGCAGAACAAGACUCCGGAUUUCAAAGGACAAUAUGAGAAACUGAAACAUGAUUGCCCAGAAUUUGUGAAGCAAAAGAAAUCGGAGCAGUUCAUUCAAAUAUCGAAAAAAAUAAGGAAAAUGCGGCUAAGAAGGAGUACAAUCAUAUUAUGGGGCCAGGAGGGUAUCGCCUUUGGGAGCCUAGGUGGGAGAAGAUGGAGAACGAGCUGAGAGCGCGAGGAAUCCGUCCAGGUACGGAGGGAUGGGACCCAAGGGCCAAAAGCUGGUGGUACGGGCAUGGGGGAACGCUGAACCCGGAGACAGGGGACUGUGUUUACCGGGGCAAAAUAAUUAAACCCACCCAAGCCCUUAUUGACGCAAUGAGGGAUGCUCAAGAGGGGAAGAUCAAGUUCAACAGAGAGAACGACGCACUGACAAAAGCCCUCGGGAAUCCUGAACACGGAGGACGUGUACGAGGCAUGGGGCACAUUCCGUGGAAAAUAGGGUUCCCCCAGAAUGAUGACCCGUACGGUUACAGAAGCCGGAAGAGAAAGAUGGAUCGGGAAGCAGAUGUUGUGGCGCGGUUGGCAUCGGAAAUGGAUGUGAUGAAGAAAACCGUGAGUGUACUAGUAGCCGAACGAGAUGCAGCUCGGGCGCAGCAUGAAGAUCAUCCAGCGGAUCUCAGAAGCCAGCAGCGGAGAAGCAGUGUGGCUUCCACGGAGGCCCCACCGGCUGGUGCAGAUGCACCGACGAUCGAAAUUACUGCACCUGAGCCUCUGGUGGUCGAAAUUACUGCACCGGAGCCUCUGGUGGUCGAAAUUACUGCACCGGAGCCUCCUCGCUACCCCGUGGAUGAUAUAAAGGAGAUGAAAGAAUGUCAUCUGUAUUAUCCUAUCGGGAACAUGUCCGUGAAGGUAGCCAUCGGCAGUGCUUUACCAUGUUUACCUGGAGCACUCCACCACAACACCCCCAUUCAAGAUGGCUAUGCUCGUGUCACGGUGGAGGACAUAGUCCAAGGGUUUGAGGACCUGGAGAUUGACAUUGCUACACCUGAAGGGGAGAAAAGACUUGGAGAUGUCAAGCGCCAUUUCAUUCUAUGGCAAAAGAAGUUUAUCAAGUUUCCAGGCGAGGCGCCAAGGACAACAAGUCCACCCCCCUACGGUGGUGGCGGUUCACCUACACCUCCGUCACGUCAGCCGACGCCCCCCAGUCCACAACGUCCGGCGGGUGAUCAGACGCCGCCCCCCAGUCCUCGUCCGGCGGGUGAUCAGACGCCGCCCCCCAAUCCACCUCCGGCAAAGAAGCAGAAGCAGUCCUGGAUUAUUUACCCGGACCCUUAUGUACCUAAGACCACAAAGGUACCGGAGCCAUCAUUGAAGCCUCUCCCCACAAGGCCUUGGGAACGUAGUGCCGAGGAAACUGCCGCGGCCGCGGCUGCUGAUCAUGAGAAAUGGAAGGCGGACUGCAAGAAGAAAAGAGAGCCCGAGCCCAAGCCAGUAUUUUCUGAUGAGCAAAAGAAGUGGGCUAAGUCAUUUUUGAGCACACCGUCCCAAGCCGCGAAGAAUCUGCCUGACGACUAUGCACGUGAACUUCGUAGGCAGGCACUCAUGUUGAAGGAGAAGAAAGAGCGGGCGGAGAACCAGGAGAACAAAGCCUUGGAGGAGGCCGAGAAAACGGAAUUAGAAAGUAAAAAAAGCGGGAAACGAGUUGCCCAGCUCGGGGAACAAAGUAAACAAUCGAUUGCCCCGCUUAUAGUGAAAGCCGCCGGUCCGGAUGACCCCGAUAUCAUAGCAGCUGCGGCAGCACAUGGAUUGACUGUAACGAGUGCCAGAGAACAAGCGGCCAACUUAGGUAUUACUCUUCGUGAACUGUUAGGCCUUGAUGAGGCACCAGUGAAGGAGGUAGUAAUUACAUAUGUGAAAAAUGGGCCUCUCGUCGAGCCUGCGCAGGAACAGGAUCUACCUCCACAAAUGAAAGGUCUGCUGAAAUGGUACAAGGGUUACAUAAAAAAUAAAAACGCCAAAGAAUAUAUUUAUGCGGAAGUUAGAUAUGAGCAUCACUUCAAACAUUACUAUGUACAAAUUCAUCUGAGUGAAUUGUUCCAGCUUUUCAAUCUGCGCGAGCUCGACAAAUCUAUCAUCAGUUGCUACGUUCUGUAAGUGAUUUAUUUCUACCCCAUCUCGUUCAUAUUGCCUGCACUAUAUAUAUGUCCUAACUAUAUUGUUGUGUCCGCUAUUAUACAUGCAGAAUGAAGAUUAAGGAAUGCAGAGUAAGGAACAUCCAUAAUGUUGGGUUCAUUGACCCACACAUCGUUAAUGGAUAUGUGUUGGAGCAUCACCCCGCCGACAUGGAGGCAGACCUGUGGCAGUUUCUUACAAAGCAGGAACUCAAAAGUGAUAUUCUAUUUCCUUACCAUUUUGGGUGAGUGUUUCUGUCUUGAGCACAUUCUCUUUUGUUUACUCCAUGCAUGGUAUGUGGCCGGCUAAUCGAUGAGUUAUGCAUGACGUACUGUGCAUGUAUCGUGUCCGCAGGUUCCACUGGAUUCUGCUAGUAAUUAAAGUUGACACCUCAGAAUGUCUCGUCCACGACUCUCUGAAUAAGGAUCCAAAGCUUUGGGUCGACAUGAGAAGAAUGCUGCAGAAAUAAUUAUUUUCAUUCAUUUGCGCUCUAUAUCGAUCGGCCUAUUUCGUUCAUUUCCUAAUAUCAAGUAACUAAUAACUCUCUUGUUCAUUUAAUUUUCUUUGCCUCGUAGGGUUUGGAGACGGUUCGUAGAUACAAAGGUCGGUGAAUUCAAAAAAGAGCUAGAAUUCAAAAGGGCAAAGGCUAAGAAUGGUGAGGAUAUUCAGCCAGCGGGGACCAAUCUAUGUGCAUACUAUGUCUGUGAGAUGAUCCGGAGAUACACCUCUGAGCGGGUUCCGAGUGAUACCAAUGCUCAGAGGAAUAACCUCCGGAUGAUGCUUAGUCCAGAAGCUCGCUUCCGACCACUUCAAGAGGAACUUGCUGGAUGGUUCAGGAGGGAAGUCCUCCAUCCUAAAGGAGAACACCAUUACGAGGACGUAGAACUUUAUAUGCAUUAAAUUAUGUAUGGAAACUUGUUCAAAAUUGUAUAUGGUCAUCCGAUGAUAUUGAAUAUAUAUUGUAUAUUCCUCUUGAAUUCUUUUUGGUUCUAAUUUCAAAUUUGUUUGAAAUUGUACAUUCAUAUGCAUGUAUGUAGUACCGUAGAAUAUGUGAAACUCCUUCAAAAUUAAAAUAAAGCACAAAAGAAAUAAAACAAUACAUAUUAAACAGAAAACAGGUUUAAGGGGGGAGGGGGGGCUAAAACCCUAAACCUGCGGCGGCCUUUAGUCGCGGUUGGCCAGAAGAACCACGACUAAAGGUCCUCCGCCCCGACGGCCACCUGGCGCCCACGUGGACGGGCCUUUAGUCGCGGUUCUUAAGCAACCGCGACUAAAGGGUGGGGCCUUUAGUCGCGCCCGUUCGGUCGCGGUUGCGCAACCGCGACUAAUGGCAGUUGCGAACCGCGACCAAAGGCCCUUUUCCCACCAGUGGAGUGAAAAUAAGAAAAAAACAAAUGGGAAAAACCAAAUGUGGCCAUGGAAAAAAAAACUGGCGCUCUAACAAAUGACGAGAUAAGGGAGGCAGAAGAAAAACCAAAUGUGGAUCGAACACGCGACCUUCAGAUCUUCAGUCUGACGCUCUCCCAAGUGAACUAUCCCCGCUUGAUGUUAUUUCAGUUAGUUCCAAUUCUCUUUUUUUGAUUUCUGACUCACUUCAUAUUUGACUCUACACUAACGCUCUUCAAACUAACAUAAGGCCUCAGAAUCUCCACGUAGCAGCGAUCAGUAAAUGUAUUAUAUUACGCAUCUCGUACAACCGUAGCAUAGACUUCUCAACAUAUUUUUAUACGUACUUGAUGAUGUUCUUUCUUUACAUGGAAGAAGGAAAUCCAUGAUCUAUGGAACAAUCCAUGAUCUAUGGAUCACCAGCGGCAGUGCCGCGCAGCACGGAUGGAGAUGGAGGUCCAAGCUCUUAUUGGCGGCGCAGUGGUAGUACAGUGUGAGCACCAUCCCGCCACAGCUGCCGCAUGUCUUGCCACUGCAGCGCGGGUGCUCGUGGCAGAGCUGGAACUCCUUGCCCUUGAACAAUGGGUGCACCAGCAUGCCCUCUGCGAGGGCACAGUCAUUGUGGAGGUCGGAGUCACAGGGUUGGCACGUGUACAUGUCCCCGGCGCCUAGAUCCAUGCAGACGUUGCACUGGAACUCCGCGGCGCCGGUGGCCAUCAGCGCUCCCGGCGGGCGGGGUGGGACGUGGGAGAUUUCCGCAGGAUGUGGCAAGGUUGUCAAAAAACGGUAUUUUCCUUUUUCGGAGGCGGACGUUUUAAAUUGGAUGUAUAUACUACUGGAAUUAUGAUGUACACCGGGUGUCAUGUUCUUCGCCGAGUACCAAAACACGGACACUCGACAAAGAAAAUAACAACGAGAGUCACUUUUGGCAAACCUAGCUUUACGACAAACUGCCUUCUUUGCCGUCACUGCCUCGCGGCAAAGAGGCACCGCACGGCAAACCCUACAGACGUCGAGAGCUGCUCACGACAAAGAGGAGCCACGUGACAUGCCCGUCCGAAACACGACUCCGUCGGUUACUGUGUAUAUCACCGAGAGCGACACUCGGCAAACUAUAUGCCACAUCCUAUUUUCUUUUUUGAGUGUGUUCUUUCUAACUGACAUGUGAUCCCACUGGUCACAUUUAUCAAUAAAAGUUUCAAAUAAUUUGCUAAAUAUUUUUGAACAAAAAUGACGAUAUCUUUCCCGAGAGCUGCUCUCAGCAAUUCUCCUGACCAGUAAGAUAGCGUGGCCACAUGGCAGCUGACAGUUUACAUAUCUUUGUCGAGAGUUGGUCUCGGCAAUGCUCGCCAUCUUUUUCGAGAGCUGCUCUCGGAAAAGGUAUGGCACAACAGUAGUGUCUCCCAGACGACCAAUUUUCUGAGAGGAGCUCUCGGUAGUAUAUCGUUUUCCGAGUGUAGCUCUUGGAAAUCUUUCCCAUCCAUUCUACUGUUAAGCUAUUUCUUUUCUGAUCCCUGCAGAUGAAAACAACUACAGUGCAAUUUGGAGUAGUCCACACAUAUAUAGGCAUAAUUUGAUCUACUCCAUAUAUAUAUACAUACAUAUAUAUAUAUAUAAUUAGGGAUAGUCCACAUAUUAUCACACACAAAUCGAAUGUAGUAUCCUAGUAGAUGUCACACACAAGUCGUAAAUUUAUAUAUAUUGUCACUACUUGCAAAACAUGUGCACGUUACAAUAGAAGUACACUUAUUCAUAUAUAGAUCAGCUUGAGGAGGAGAGGCCAUCGGGUUAACAUUCCAGAGGAGGAGGGGCAUCACUUGCACUGCUUCGAGAUUGCAUAAGAACCUAUAAGAGUAGAGUCACGUGAGGAUGGUUCGUCCCUAUGUAAUGAAUCUUCUACUCUAGUUUAGAUAAUGUUCUACCUGUAGUUGAUUCUCAAGUAGCUUCAACCUAUUGUUAGUGUCUUCUCGUUCCUUUUCUUUGGACUCCUCAGCCUUCCGCCUUUGCUCCUCUUCAACAGCCUGCUGCUUCAUUAAAUUCUGUAACAUGGCAUUAGGCUCAUAUAGGUUGGACCGGUGCUAUUUCGAGGCAUGGACAUAAAUGAAAGGUUAGAAUGCUAACCUUGAGACUUGUGGUGCAUCUAUCUCGCAGCGCCGUGAAUGAUGUGAUCUUCAGUGACGUGGAGGUUUCAGGAGGUAUUGCUGUCUACACCUACAAAGAAGAGAAUGUUGACAGAUUUUGCCGUGUAACCGUGCCACUGUUCAACUCUGAAUAUAGUAUGUUGUCUGAACAAGUUAGCAGGAGCAUAGUCUGCACCAGAGGAUUUGGCAAAUAACUUCAGAAUUUUUAAUUGAACAUGGAUAUAUUAUUCUUGGAAGGAAAGUCUACACCAGUAGAUAUUGUGAUCUUCAAGGAUAACCCAACAUUUUAGGUGCUCUACAAGGAAUGGAUAUGAGAACGUUGCAGCGUCACAAUAGUCAAGAACCUCCACAGAAGGGUUCCAAUACUCAAGGUUUAUUUCUAGUGCUUCUUUUUUCCAGUGUAAAGAAGGGAGUAACCACAGUUUCCCCAAUUGUUGAAUCACAGAUGUAUCACCACAUAAACAGAGCAUAUGACAAGUUCAAAAUUCGAGUGCAAAACAUAUGUUCUUGUGCAACACAAAACGUCCGAAGUUUAAGCGCACAAACAUCGGCAACUCGAUUGCAACUACUUUCACUGAAUAAUGUAUCUCUCAUAACAGUAAAAAAACUAUUUCCUAGCCCAAAAAGAUGUUUUCUCGGAUCACAAUCGAUACCCCUACUUUAUGGCUGAAAACCCUUCUUUAUCACCCAAAACCCUAGCUUUAUUACGCCGCCCAAACUUACCAAACCCUGUUCUGACUUGAAUCCGACCGAUCAUCACAACAUUACAUCCCACCGGUGAUUUCCGCGGUGGUGCAGAAGAAUAGAGGCGGAGGGGAUUUCGAGAACUUGUCAUAAUCCGGAGGGAAGAUCCUGUGCGGGCGGACAAGAUGCACGGAGACGGCGGCUCCAUACCGCUGCUGAUCACCGAUGACGUCGCCAAGAGGAGGCGGACAUCAUCAAGGGAACGUCGACACGACGAGUUCUCCGAUAGAGGAGGCAAAGAGAUGUGUUAGAAGUGAGUGCUUUGAUUUAAUUCAAUUUUUUUUUAAUCUCCACCGAUGUGCUCGAGUUGGAGUGCAGUUUUCCCCCCGCAAAACGCAAUGACCGGCUUGGCCCCUCCGCCGCUAACGUGCCGCUAGAUGUCGCGUGCUGAUUGGCUCGACUAAUUUGCACAUCGGCAACAAGUUCCUGGGUGGCAGGGCGAGCAAUCGCAAGUUGUGUCACCGGCCAGAGUCCAGACAGUUUGUGGGUGUGCAGUGUUGUUACAUCUUUUUUAUGUUUUUUUAGAAUCAUCUUUUUUAUGUGAGAGGCUUUCACAAAUCUCUAAAUAAAUAAAGGACGCGUCUAGUGGGCGGCCGGCUGCCCACUAGCGCGAUCGAGCAGCUGGCCAUAAAAAGCAACUUCCUGUCCCCCACGUGGUACAGAAAAAGCAGGAUCGAGCUGCCACCAAACCGAGUGAUUCCAGCGCCCAAUCCCGAACAAAAAGCGACCCCCCCACGUGGCCAGCUGUCCACAAACUCGCUCGCCCCCACGUCCCAACCCCUCCCACGCCCGCUCGCCCAGGCAAUCCCACGCUGCUUUCUUGACCUGCAGGAAAGAAAGGGAUCCAAAGCUCCUUCUUCCUCCUCCUAUAUAGCCGCCAUGGGAGCAGAAAGAUAGAUGAAUCUGCUUCAACAAAUUGAUCUAAAAUGCAGGGUGAUCAGACCCAUACCAGGCAACAAACAUCAGGCAAGUACUUCCUCUCUAACCCUCUUCAGUUGUCCCCUUUCUUGUACUGCAUCUAUAAAACACCCUCCUCCAUGGAUCCAUCAGCAAAUCCAUGAAGAAUCUGCUUCAAAAAAAGAGUACAUUUGAAACAUCACCUUAUUGUGAACAUCACACCGGCCGCACCCCCCCCCCAUGAGUGCAUCUGCACACUAACUUAGGGUUCCCAGAUCGAAACUGAACGUGUUUUUCUAAACAUGCAUGCUAAGCAAGUUUACCCUGCCCCUUUUAUGUGUUCAACAAGUCAACUAAGACAUAUUUACUGGCCAACAAAUACAUGAUUCUAGCCAACUGAACAUGCAUGCUUGCCAACUAGAUAUAUGCAUCCUGGCCAACUGAAACGUCUAUUCUAGCCAGCUGAACACAUUGACUGUGCAACGGAACAUGCAUGCUGGCCAACUGAUAUAUGCAUCCUAGCCAAUUGAAAUGUCUAUUCUAGCUAGCUAAACACAUUGACUGUGCAACAGAACAUGCAUCCUGGCCAAGCUGAUAUAUGCAUCCUGGCCAACUGAAAUGUCUAUUCUAGCCAGCUAAAUACAUUGGUUGUGCAACAGAACAUGCAUUCUGGCCAAAAUGAUAUAUGGAUCCAUGAAAAUUCAAACAUCUAUUUUAGCCAACUAAACACAUUGGCUGUGCAACUGAACAUGCAUGCUGACCAACUGAUAUAUGCAUCCUAGGAAAAUUGAAACAUCUAUUCUAUCCAACUGAAUACAUGGACUGUGCAACUGAAUAUGCAUGCUGGCCAACUGAUAUAUGCAUCCUGGGAAAUUGAAACAUCUAUUCUAGCAAAAUUGAACACAUUGACUGUCAAACAAAACUUGCAUGCUGGCCAACUGAUAUAUGCAUCCUGGCCAACUCAAAGAUCUAUUCUAGCCAAAACCAAAAAACUGCAGUACGGCAACUUCUGCAGCAAUAUGUGCAACAGAUAAAUAAACAAGGUUAUUGAAGCCAUAAAACCACAUUAAAGUAGUCACACAUAUAUUCUGGUAGCACACCUAUUGCAAAGCUAUAGUGUAAAAAUAUGUUCAAAUAUACUGAAAGUAGAAACAGAAACGGCGACGAAAAACAUAUAUCUAUAGUCUGUCAUCAAAUUCUUCUUUCUUCUUUCACCUGGAUUUUGCAUCUGAAAAAGUAGCAUCAAAUUGUGUCCCUAUUAUGUGCAGCAAAAUUUGAAUAAGCUCCUUGCCAACGGAACCCUGCGGAUCAUUGCAAUAAAAGCAGAGGAAAAAGUCAGAAAACUCUAUGGCAAAAAGAAGUCAAGUUCUUGCCAACUAUUUACUACAAACUGUGCAACUAACAUAACAACUCUGUGCAAAAACAAAAAAUGCAUGCAUGUUAUAAUAAAAGAUUCUGCUACAGACAUGUUGCUUUUGGAACUAAGAUUGUCAUAAAAUGGUGUGCAACUGCCUAUUUACUAAGUUUUUUGGUUGUUUGAAACACUCUUUUCUAUGAUUAACAACUGAUGACAUCACUUUCUUCUUUUUUAUAUGUGCAGUGAGUGUGUGGCAGCAUCCAAAAAAAGGAAAAAAAUGCUUGUUUUCAAUGAGCUUCCUCAUGAUACGGAUCAGCAGCAACCCAGCAUACCACAAGGAAACUGGACAGAAAAUGUACGAUCUGUUUACUACACACAGGCUAGUCAUGGUGGAAACCCUAUGGGCCAUGACAAUGUGGUAGACCAACCAUCAACCCGUGGUGCCCCUGUAGUGGUGUCUUUGCAGUCAGAGAGCCAUACUCUAGAUGACAUGGGAACCGAGGCAAAUGUUCCUCAUCCAACCAGGACUGAGCUAGGAGCUGGGGCUGUUGACGGAGCUGUGCAAGAAGAAGAAGGAGAGGAUGAGGCUGGUUCUCAACGUAUGGAACCCUAUGUUGGCACGAGGUUUGACAGCCUUCAAAUUGCUAAGGAUCACUACAACAGCUACGCACUACGGAUGGAUUUCUCUAUCAAUAUGAACACAUCUAGACGGACACCCCGCACCAAUGAAUUGAUAAAACAACAGUUUUGCUGCAACAAGUUCAAGAAGCCCAAAGCUGAUGAUGGAGGAGCUGAGGCUCCUCCUGUUUUGGACCCUAUUCCAGAUCCAAAAUCUGUUGACAGUGAUGAGGAGAUGAAAGAAGAACCUCCAAUAUUUGCUGAAGAGGAGGCUGGUACUAGUAAGAAGAAGAAGAAGCGCAAACGUGAGACAAUAAAGCAGACUCAGUGCAAAGCAAAAAUGUUGGUGAAGCUGAUAGAUGGGCGAUGAGAGGUGACACACUUUGUUCGUGACCACAAUCAUCCGCUCGUGAACAAACCUUCAUUGUCCAAAUACUUGAGAUCCCACCAAGGCAUCUCACCUGAUGAAAAGGAGUUUCUGCGCAUCUUGUAUAACUGCAACUUGACUACAGGUGUGGUGUUUUUCUAUAUCCCUUAAAGAAUUAAGUUUUCCUCUAGGCAGUCUAGUGUGCAACUUUUAUGGUAGUACUGUGCAACUGAAAUGACUUAACUGUGCAACUGGUGUCCAACUGGUGUGCCACUGAAAUGACUUCACUUUUGGUGCUUGUUGUGCAACUAGAUUGUCUUUACUGUGCAACUAGACGAUGUCAUGUAUGCAAAAAGUGCAAAAGUGUUUUUAAAAAGAUGCAGCUAGGUGUCCAUUUCCUGCGAUUAUCUUUUGUGCCAACACAUUUCCUAUUACUGUGCAGCUGGAUGUGCGCAUUCGUGCAACUAAAAGAAGGAUAUACUAUUUUUUUGUAUUAUGCAGGACGUAUGAUGCAUGUAAUGGCAGAGUUUUAUGGAUCUAAGAUGAUGGUGCCAUUCGGACCAAAGGCAAUAACUAAUAUUUGUACAAGUUUCUGUAAAGAUGACACAAAGGAGGGUGAUCUGAUUGAGACAAUUGCGCACUUCAAGGAUAUUAAAAAACCGAUCCAGACUUCUUCUAUAAGGUGAAAUAUGAUGAAGAGGACAGAGUUGUCAACAUAUUUUGGGUGGAUGGCUUAGCUCGAAAAGCUUAUGCGGAGGCGUACCACGAUUGCAUAUCGUUUGACACCACCUACAUGACCAACAUGUACAAUAUUCCGUUUGCACCCUUCAUAGGAAUAAACUGACAUGGCCAAUCUUUCAUGUUGGGUUGCGCGUUUGUGAGGCAGGAGUUGGCAUCGAGCUUUGAUUGGGUCUUUGGAGCAUUCCUAGAGGCUAUGGAUGGCAAACCUCCUGACAACUUCAUAACCGAUCAGGAUGGUGCAAUGAGGCAGUCAAUACAGAGCAUCUUUCCAAACCACAGUGCACCGCUGUUGUCGAUGGCACAUCAUGAAAAAGGCUCAGGAAAAAGUUAGUUGGCUGCUGUGCCGGAAUCCAGGACUCUCUGAUGAUUUCAACAAGUGUGUUGACUUCAGCUUCACUAUAGACGAGUUUGAGCAGAAUUGGGCUGGGUUAAUGGUGAAGUACGAGGCUAUGACACACACACACACACACUUUGAGAAGUUGUACGAAUACAGGUCAACUUGGAUGUCGUGCUACUUCAAGCACAGGUUCUUCCCGUUCCUACAAUCUACAUAGUGUAAUGAGGGGUUCAACACCGUCCUGAAAAGAUAUGUGAACCCACACAACUCAAUGCUGAACUUCGUCAAGCAAUAUGAAAAAAAUCCAGAACCACAUCCUUGCCAAGGAAGGCUGCAAUGAUUAAAGGACAGAACACCUUGAGAUUGAGCUGUGGUCCAACUUCCCAAUAGAGAAGCAAGUUUACAAAACCUAUACUAGGGACCUUUACCGCAAGUUCAGAGAAGAGUUUGAGCUGAUUGGAUGUUAUAAUGCAUUCCAAGUUGGUGCUGAUAUAGAGCUCAGACCGAACCAGGAAUUUGUUGCCAAAUAUGGUUCUCGAAACUACUUGGUGUAGGCAAGGGUGGAGGAGGGCUCCUAUUUGUGUGAGUGCUGUAAAAUGGACAAAGACGACAUCCUCUAUUGCCACAUCCUCAAGGUGUUCACCCAUAUUGGAGUUGAUGUCAUACCGGAAAGGUACCUGCUAAGACAGUGGACACCUACUGCUAUACCUAGUGCGCCAGGGACUGGUUAUGAGCAACCGGAUGAAAUGCCUCCUCAGUCAAAGAAGCAGAUAAGGGAGAGGAACAUGAUAUACGAUUUUUGGAAACUAGCAAAGUUUGUGAGUGGUUCUGAUCCAGCACAAGCUAUUGUACACAAGCAUAUGCGUGCAACACGUACCGAGAUCGGCCACAUGAACAAGUCCAAGAAAAAGAAAAAACCGACUGCUGCCACGGGGCCAUCAGAUGAUGGCAACCCUCGAGGACCUCCUCCACCUCCACGCAGCAAUCAGGGUGCUCAUUAUCCAGCUAAUUAUCUGCCCCAACUCCUGAUCUAAAUAGGUGUGUAACUUCAGUUGCACACAUCAUUGUGCCUAGUUGCACACAUCAUGGUGGCCAGUUGCAUAGAAACAGGCUGCCUAGUUGCGCAUACUGUGUUAGUUCAAGCAUCGAGAUAACAUAACUAACUUGUUUUUCCUGUUCUGGAUAUAGAUGAUGUCAACCCUCAAGGACAUCCUCCACCUCCUGGCCCUAUAGGUAGCACUCAGGGGCCUCAUCGUCCAGGUAAUUACCUGCCCCAACUCCCAAUCAAACUAGGUCUGUAACUCCAGUUGCACACAUCAUGGUGCUCAGUUGCACAGAAAACAGGCUACCUAGUUGCGCACGUUGUGUUAGUUCGAGCAUCAAAGAUAACACAACUAACUUGUUUGUCCUGUUCUAUCUAUAGGUGAUGCCAACCCUCAAAGACCUCCUCCCCCGCCUGGCCCAACUAGCAGUGCCCUGCGUGCUACUCCCAAUGGACCUACAUGCAGGACUCAGGGGGCUCAUCACCCAGGUAAAAUACCUUCCCCAACUCCCAACAAAACUAGGAUGUGUGACUUCAGUUGCACAUAUCAUUAUGCCAGUGCAACGUCUUGAGCUUGCAUUGGUUUUCCUCGAAGAGGAGAGGGUGAUGCAUCAAUAGUAGCGUAAGUAUUUCCCUCAGUUUUUGAGAACCAAGAUAUCAAUCCAGUAGGAGGCUCCUCAAAAGUCACACGCACGUACACAAACAAACUGAGAACUCGCAACCAACGCGAUAAAGGGGUUGUCAAUCCCUUCACGGCCACUUGCGAAAGUGAGAUCUAAUAAAGAUGGUAAGCUAAGAUAAAUAUGUUUUUGGUAUUUUAUAAUAUGGAUGCAAAAAGUAAAGAUGCAAAUAAAAGUAGAUUGAAAGCAAAUAUGAUAAGAGAUAGUCCCGGGGGCCAUAGGUUUCACUAGAGGCUUCUCUCAAGAUAUCAUAAGUAUUACGGUGGGUGAACAAAUUACUGUCGAGCAAUUGAUAGAAAAGCGCAUAGUUAUGAGAUUAUCUAGGCAUGAUCAUGUAUAUAGGCAUCACGUCCAUAACAAGUAGACCGACUCCUGCCUGCAUCUACUAUUAUUACUCCACACAUCGACUGACUCCUGCCUGCAUCUAGAGUAUUAAGUUCAUAAGAACAGAGUAACACAUUAAGCAAGAUGACAUGAUGCAGAGAGAUAAACUCAUGCAAUAUGAUAUAAACCCCAUCUUGUUAUCCUUGAUGGCAACAAUACAAUACGUGCCUUGCAACUCUUUCUGUCACUGGGUAAGGACACCGCAAGAUUGAACCCAAAGCUAAGCACUUCUCCCAUGGCAAGAAAGACCAAUCUAGUAGGCCAAACCAAACUGAUAAUUCGAAGAGACUUGCAAAGAUAACUCAACCAUACAUAAAAGAAUUCAGAGAAGAUUCAAAUAUUAUUCAUAGAUAAACUUGAUCAUAAACCCACAAUUCAUCGGAUCUCGACAAACACACCGCAAAAAGAGUUUACAUCGAAUAGAUCUCCACAAGAGAGGGGGAGAACAUUGUAUUGAGAUCCAAAAAGAGAGAAGAAGCCAUCUAGCUAAUAACUAUGGACCCGUAGGUCUGUGGUAAACUACUCACAACUCAUCGGAGGGGCAAGGAUGUUGAUGUAGAGGCCCUCCGCGGUCGAUUCCCCCCCCGGCAGAGUGCCGACGAAGGCUCCAAGAUGGGAUCUCGCGGAUAUAGAAGGUUACGGUGGUGGAAAUUGUGUUUCAUGGUGCCCCUGGAUGUUUUCGGGGUACGUAGGUAUAUAUAGGAGGAAGAAGUACAUCGGUGGCCGCCCGAGGGGCCCACGAGACAGGGGGCGCACCCUAGAGGGGGGGGGGCUCCUAUCUCGUGGAGCCCUCAGCUGCUUCUUGACUUGCAUUCCAAGCUCUCCGGAUCACGUUCGUUCCAAAAAUCACGCUCCCGAAGGUUUCAUUCCGUUUGGACUCCGUUUGAUAUUCCUUUUCUUCGAAAUAUUGAAAUAGGCAGAAAAAACAGCAAUACGGGCCGGGCCUCCGGUUAGUAGGUUAGUCCCAAAAAUGAUAUAAAUGUGUAAAAUAAAGCCCAUAAACAUCCAAAAGAGGUAAUAUAAUAGCAUGGAACAAUCAAAAAUUAUAGAUACGUUGGAGACGUAUCAAGCAUCCCCAAGCUUAAUUCCUGCCCGUCCUCGAGUAGGUAAAUGUAAAUAAGAAAUUUUUGAUGUGGAAUGCUACCUAGCAUAAUUCUCAAUGUAAUUUUCUUUAUUGUGGCAUGAAUGUUCAGAUCCAAAUGAUUCAAAAUAAAAGCUUAUAAAACAUAAAAAUAAUAAUGCUUCAAAGCAUACUAACAAAAAAUCAUGUCCUAUCAAAAUAACAUAGCCAAAGAAAGCUUAUCCCUACAAAAUCAUAUAGUUAGGCCAUGCUUCAUUUUCAUUACACAAAAUACUCCCAUCAUGCACAACCUCGAUGACGAGCCGAGCAAUUGUUUCAUACUUUUUAACGCGCUUCAACUUUUUCAACUCUUACGCAAUACAUGAGCGUAAUCCAUGGACAUAACACUAUAGUGGUAUAUGGUGGUGGUUGUGAGGACAAAAAGAGGGAGAAGAUAAUCUCACAUCAACUAGGCGUACUAACGGGCUAUAUAGAGGUGCCCAUUAAUAGAUAUCAAUGUGAGUGAGUAGGGAUUGCCAUGCAACGAAUGCAGUAGAGCUAUAAAUAUAUGAAAGCUGAAAAAAGAAACUAAGUGGGUGUGCAUCCAACUUGCUUGCUCAUGAAGACCUAGGGCAUUUUGAGGAAGCCCAUUGUUGGAAUAUACAAGCCAAGUUCUAUAAUGAAAAAUUCCCACUAAGUAUACGAAAGUGACAACAUAGGAGACUCUCUAUCAUGAAGAUCAUGGUGCUACUUUGAAGCACAAGUGUGGAAAAAGAGAUAGUAGCAUUGUCCUUUCUCUCUUUUUAUCUCAUUUUAUUAUUUUUUCUUUUCUCUUUUUUUCUUUGGCCUUUUUUUUUCUUUUUGGCCUUUCUCAUUUUUUUUCUUUUUUUUAUUUCUCUUUUUUUUCUUUUUGUAAAGUCCGAAGUCUCAUCCCUACUUGUGCGGGAAUCAUAGCCUUCAUCAUCCUUACCUCACUAGGACAAUGCUCUAAUAAUUAAGAUCAUCACACUUCUAUGGAUUUACAACUCAAGAAUUACAACUCAAAGCUAGAACAAGAUCUGACUCUAUAUGAAUGCCUCCGGCGCUGUACCGGGAUAUGCAAUGAAUCAAGAGCGACAUGUAUGAAAAUUAUGAAGGUGGCCUUGCCACAAAUACGAUGUCAACUACAUGAUCAUGCAAAGAGCAAUAUGACAAUGAUGGAACGUGUCAUAAUAAAUGGAAUGGUGGAAAGUUGCAUGGCAAUAUAUCUCGGAAUGGCUAUGGAAAUGCCAUAAUAGGUAGGUAUGGUGGCUGUUUUGAGGAAGGUAAAUAAGGGGUUUAUGAUACCGACAAAAGUUGCGCGGUAAUAAUAAAGGCUAGCAACGUAAAAGGAUGAGUGUGCAUAUGUCCAUGGACUCACAUUAGUCAAAAGAGAACUCAUAUACUUAUUGAAAAAGCCUACUUAGCCCUCGAAGCAAAGUACUACUACGCAUGACCCAAGAGGGAUAGAUUGGUAGGAAAAGACCAUCGCUCGUCCCCGACUGCCACUCAUAAGGAAGACACUCAAAAGAGCACCUCAUCCAACAAAUUUGUCACACAACUUUUACCAUACGUGCAUGCUACGGGACUUGCCAACUUCGACAAAAGUAUUUCUCAAUUUCAUAAUUACCCACUAGCAUGACCCUAACAUUACUACCUUUAUAUCUCAAAACAACUAUCAAGCAUCAAGUUGAUCAUAGCAUCCAAUUCUUAUUCUAUGAUAGUUUUUAUUAUACCCAACUUGGAUGCUCAUCAUUCUAAGACCAACUUUGUAACCAUAGCAAAUACCAUGUUGUUCUAAAAAACUCUCAAAAAUAUAUAAGUGAAGCAUGAGAGACUAGAAAUUUCUUCAAAAUCAGGACACCACCAUGCUCUAAAAGAUAUAAGUGAAGCACUAGAGCAAAAACUAUCAAGCUCAAAAGAUAUAAGUGAAGCACAUAGAGUAUUCUAGCAAAUUCUAAUCAAAUAAGCUUCUCCCAAAAGGUGUGUACAGCAAGGAUGAUUGUGGUAAACUAAAAAGCAAAGACUAAUAUAAUACACGAUGCUCCAAGCAAAACACAUAUCAUGUGGCGAAUAAAAAUAUAGCUCCAAGUAAAGUUACCAAUGAACGAAGACGAAAGAGGGGAUGCCUUCCUGGGGCAUCCCCAAGCUUAGGAUUUUGGCUAUUCUUGAAUAUCUUGGGGUGCCUUGGGCAUACCCAAGCUUAGGCUCUUGCCACUCCUUAUUCCAUAGUCCAUAAAAACUUUACCCAAAACUUGAAAACUUCACAACACAAAACUCAACAGGAAAUCUUAUAAACUCCGUUAGUGAAAGAAAACAAAACCACUACAUAAGGUACUGCAAUGAACUCAUUAUUUAUUUAUUUUGGUGUUAAACCUACUGUAUUCGAACUUCCUUAUGGUUUAUAAACUAAUUUACUAACCAUAGAUGCAUUGAAAUAAGCAAACAACACACGAAAAACAGAAUCUGUCAAAAACAGAACAGUCUGUAGCAAUCUGUAACUAACGCAAAUUGCUGGAACUCUAAAAAUCCUACCAAAAUAGGAAGUCCUGGACAAUUUGUUUAUUGAAAAGCAGAAAAAAGAAUCAACGCAAAAUCACGUUCCUGUGAUUUAACAAAAUUAUAUUCGUGCCCGCAAAGUUUCUGUUUUUCAGCAGAAUCAAAUCAACUAUCAUCGUAGGUUAUCCUAUAGGUUCUACUUGGCACAAACACUAAUUAAAAGAUAAAACACAUCUAAACAGAAGGUAGAUGCAAGAUUUAUUACUAAACAGGAGCAAAAACAAAGAACAUAAAGAAAAUUGGGUUGCCUCCCAACUAGCGCUAUCGUUUAACGCCCCUAGCUAGGCAUAAAAACAAAGAUAGAUCUAAGUAGUGCCAUAUUUGGCACUAGAUUCGUAAGUAGCACGCAUGAUAGAUUCAUAAGGUAAUUUGACUUUAUUUCUUGGAAAGUGCUCCAUGCCUUUCUUUAAUGGAAAUUGGAAUCUAAUAUUCCCUUCCUUCAUAUCAAUAAUCGCACCAAUCGUUCUAAGAAAAGGUCUACCAAGAAUAAUAGGGCAAGAAAGAUUGCAAUCUAUAUCAAGAACGAUAAAAUCUACGGACACCAAAUUUCUAUUUGCAACAAUAAGAACAUCAUUGAUCCUUCCCAUAGGCCUUUUAAUGGUGGAAUCCGCAAGGUGCAGAUUUAAAGAGCAAUAAUCAAGAUCAUGGAAACCUAGAAUAUCACAUAAAGUUUCGGAAUCGUGGAAACACUAGCACCCAAAUCACACAAAGCAAAACACUCACAAUCUUUAAUUCUAAUCUUUAUAGUAGGUUCCCACUCAUCAUUAAGUUUUCUAGAUAUAGAAACUUCCAAAAUUAAGUUUUUCAUCAUAAGAUUGCAUCAAGGCAUCAACGAUAUGUUUGGUAAAAGUUUUAUUUUGACUAUAAGCAUGAGGAGAAUUAACAAUGGAUUGCAACAAGAAAAUACAACCUUUUAAAGAGCAAUUAUAAUAAUCAAAUUCCUUGAAAUCCGAGAUAGUAGAUUCAAUAUUAUUAGAAGUUGAGGAUUCUCCAAUCUCACUUUUACCAAAUUUAGCAAUAAGAUCUAAAGAUUCCGAAUUCUUGGGACGCCUUCUAGGCAAAGUUGAUUCAUCAUCAGUCCCAUUAUCAUCAAAAUUCAUAUUGCAAAAUAUAGAUCUAAUAGGAGACACAUCAAUAACUUUAAGAUCCUCAUCAUUAUUUUCACCUAACUUUUCUGGUUCAGCGGCCAUCUUAUUGACUAAGGUGGCUUGCUUAUCAGAAAUUUUGGCUAUAGUAUUUUCAAGACGGGUAAUUUGAGCAUUAACACCAUAAAAUUCUUCAUUCAUAUCAUCAAGCUCUUUGUUCCUAAACCCCAAAAAACCUUUUUGUUCCUUAAGCUCUUUUCUAAAGAAGUUAUUAUGCUAAAAUUGCAAAUUCAUAAAGCUUCUAAUAUUUGAUUCAAUCUCUUCCAUCCUUCUGAGAAGGUGGUCAUGACCCUUAGGCGAAGCCAUAAGGACAAACAGGCACACAAGCAAACAGAGAAGGGCAAGCGAAAGAGAGGAGGAGAUUGCGAAAGAGAGGGCGAAUAAAACGGCAAGGGUGAAGUGGGGGAGAGGAAAACAAGAGGCAAAUGGUAAAUAAUGUAAAUGCGAGGGAGAUGGGUUUGUGAUGGGUACUUGGUAUGUCUUGACUUGAGCGAAGACCUCCCCGGCAACGGCGCCAGAAAUCCUUCUUGCUACGUCUUGAGCUUGCGCUGGUUUUCCUCGAAGAGGAGAGGGUGAUACAUCAAUAGUAGCGUAAGUAUUUCCCUCAGUUUUUGAGAAACAAGGUAUCAAUCCAGUAGCUGGCUCCUCAAAAGUCCCACGCACCUACACAAACAAACUGAGAACUCGCAACCAACGCGAUAAAGGGGUUGUCAAUCCCUUCACGGCCACUUGCGAAAGUGAGAUCUAAUAAAGAUGGUAAGAUAAGAUAAAUAUAUUUUUGGUAUUUUAUAAUAUGGAUGCAAAAAGUAAAGAUGCAAAUAAACAUAGAAUGAAAGCAAAUAUGAUAAGAGAUAGACCCGGGGGCCAUUGGUUUCACUAGAGGCUUCUCUCAAGAUAGCAUAAGUAUUACCGUGGGUGAACAAAUUACUGUCGAGCAAUUGAUAGAAAAGUGCAUAGUUAUGAGAUUAUCUAGGCAUGAUCAUGUAUAUAGGCAUCACGUCCAUAACAAGUAGACCGACUCCUGCCUGCAUCUACUACUAUUACUCCACACAUCGACCGACUCCUGCCUGCAUCUAGAGUAUUAAGUUCAUAAGAUCAGAGUAACGCAUUAAGCAAGAUGACAUGAUGUAGAGGGAUAAACUCAUGCACUAUGAUAUAAACCCCAUCUUAUUAUCCUCGAUGGCAACAAUACAAUACGUGCCUUGCAACCCUUUCUGUCACUGGGUAAGGACACCGCAAGAUUGAACCCAAAGCUAAGCACUUCUCCCAUGGCAAGAAAGACCAAUCUAGUAGGCCAAACCAAACUGAUAAUUCGAAGAGACUUGCAAAGAUAACUCAACCAUACAUAAAAGAAUUCAGAGAAGAUUCAAAUAUUAUUCAUAGAUAAACUUGAUCAUAAACCCACAAUUCAUCAGAUCUCAACAAACACACCGCAAAAAGAGUUUACAUCGAAUAGAUCUCCACAAGAGAGGGGGAGAACAUUGUAUUGAAAUCCAAAAAGAGAGAAGAAGCCAUCUAGCUAAUAACUAUGGACCCGUAGGUCUGUGGUAAACUACUCACAACUCAUCGGAGGGGCAAGGAUGUUGAUGUACAGGCCCUCCAUGGUCGAUUCCCCCUCCAACAGAGUGCCCGGCGAAGGCUCCAAGAUGGGAUCUCGCGGAUACAGAAGAUUACGGUGGUGGAAAUUGUGUUUCGUGGCGCCCCUGGAUGUUUUCGGGGUACAUAGGUAUAUAUAGGAGGAAGAAGUACGUUGGUGGCCGCCCGAGGGGCCUACGAGACAGGGGGCAUGCCCUACAGGGGGGCGCAGCCUCCUAUCUCGUGGAGCCCUCGACUGCUUCUUGACUUGCACUCCAAUCUCUCCGGAUCACGUUCGUUCCAAAAAUCACGCUCCCGAAGGUUUCAUUCCGUUUGAACUCCGUUUGAUAUUCCUUCUCUUCGAAAUACUGAAAUAUGCAAAAAAAACAGCAAUACAGGCUGGGCCUCCGGUUAGUAGGUUAGUCUCAAAAAUGAUAUAAAUGUGUAAAAUAAAGCCCAUAAACAUCCAAAAGAGGUAAUAUAAUAGCAUGGAACAAUCAAAAAUUAUAUAUACGUUGGAGACGUAUCACCCAGUUGCACAGAACAUGCUGCCUAGUUGCGUGCGCUGUGUUAGUUUGAGGAUCAAGCUAAAAAUCUAACUUGUUUUUCCUGUUCUACCCAUAGGCAAUUACAAUCCAAGUACCAUGACGGGACGUGCUACUCCAAGUGUUUUUUCAACUUAACCUGCACACAUCAACCAGUUAGGUGCACAGCAUGGGCUGCGUGGUUGCAGAGAACAUUAGUGCUGGUUGCACAACAAAAAAAGUACUAAAUUUUUUAUAUGAUUAUUACACAGGUGAUCGUGAUGGUCCUACUGCCCCGUUGGAGGAUGCAUCCCCUGCACAAGCUUCUGAUGACUUUGUGCCCAGGGAUCCUCCAAGGUCUACUACAAAGGGUAGGGCAAAAAGUUGACGGUACAAAUCGGCGCUGGAGCUACACCCAAAGAAGAAAAACAAAUGCAACCAAUGCCAAUCUACAGAGCACACUGCUGGUGUGUGUGUCCACUCAGGCUACUGUGAUUCUGUUUCACCAUUUGUAACUUUGAGACAAAAAAGGAAAAGAAUGAUGUUUUUUAGCAAUGCUGGGACCAAGUAGACACAUUCAGCAUCUAUGAUUUCUCUUUAUCUAAUUUAUGCUCCUUGAAUUAUUUCAUGCACUGUGUAAAAAAUGUUGCUAUUUGUACCUUUGUUGGCAACUGGUUAAAUAUUUAGUUGUUGAACAAUUGUAUGUCAAGUGCUCCUAAUAUAUCAACAAAAGUGAUGAUAUUGACUUGCAAACGGAAUUGCUACUAGUGUGCAACUACAAAAUCUGCUUAAAAAUUGUGCAAACCAGCAACUACCUCCAUGGAGCAGAGAAAGAAAAAGAGUACUGACCUAGUCCUUGUCGUAUCUCAGCAACUUCCUCCAUGGGGCGGUGUUGUGCACGCUGGUGACCCAGUCAUAUGCCAUCUUCUUCCUGAUGUUGAGUACUUCCUUGGGUUCGUAGUUGGGCAGUUGGCUAUCGUUCCACUCGGUGGCGUUAAGCAGUGCGAACAACCCACACUCAUUACUGCGAUGGGCAAGAAAAGAAAAUUUGUCACAUAAAAUUAAAACCAAAUAAAGAUAAUGCACUCUGUGCAACUGCUUAUGUUCUACUGUGCAACUGUUUAUGUUCUACUGUGCAACUACUUAUGUUCUACUGUGCAACUUCUUAUGUGCCACUAUGCAACUGCUUAUGUGCCACUCUGCAACUGGCUAGAUAAUCCAUUAGAAACUCAUAAAAAUGAUAAACAGAUUGCAGACUAGUACUGUGUCUUAAAAAACUAAAGAUUGCACAUGUAGAAAAAUUUAAAAACUACAAAAUGAUGGUAAGAAAUUGAGAAGAGAGCCAUGCUUAUUGUCUUACUUGCCGAGCUGCUUCGGUACGUCAAUGUAAAUAAUCUGAAAGUGCUCGAUGCUGAAAUUUGGGUAAUGCUUCCUCCAUAGCUGGCGUACUGCCCCCGCGAUGGUAGAGGCGGUGGUCAUCAGCUCAAUGUCAUCUAGCGUCCUGCUUGAAUCAAGAACUUCGAAGCGUCCGUCCCUCAAGUUGACAUUGAAGACCCAAUAAUGCCUCCCUCCCUCCUUAUCGGUUACAUCAGUGCACUCGAGCACUGGCAGCAUGACCUGCAAGUGUGAACGAUUUCAGACAUAGAUACAGGCUGUAGCUAAGAAAAAACAGUAAAAGACUUGGUCAAGUUAAAACAUGUUGCAACAAGUAUGUGCCAACUAACAGAUGUGCCAUGUGCAACUGAACAUGCUGUGGGUGUCAACAAAAAGAGAUGGAUCAUGUGGGCACAACACUCACCAAGUCCUUCUUGUCGAGACGGUUCUUGUAAUCAAACUUCUUGUUUAUCUCUUUCACGUUGUGGAUACCUUGCUGUAAAUUCAUCUGCAGAGAUUAUAAAGCAUGGCUCAAACUCCUUAGUAGAUGAAAGGCCUCCCUCAAUUGGUCAACAAAAAAGUGCUACAGAACAAAGAUGAGGGUAAGGAAGGUUUUGGAAAAACUUACCGAAAAACUCAGUGGCAUAACAACCUUCUUUGACCCUUCUAGUAAGCUCUCCAUGAUGUGUAAGAUUCCAGUCUCAAUAACAAUUUUUGACAGCCAUUGAACCGGCUUCAUCGAAUCAACUAACUCCUUUAAAGAAAUGUAGAAAUCACCAUACCUGAUUAUCUCAGGGCUGAAUUUUUUUUGAAAGCAAUAAAAAGACAAGUUAGCUCGAAGGGUCAUAGUAGCAAAAAAAAUGUGCAUGAAAUUGAAAAACAGAACAGUGUGCAACUAAAAGCCCUGUUCUGUGCAACAUGCUAUGCUUUCUGUGCAACUAAGUGGCUGGUCUUGUGCAACUGAAAAAGAUAUGUAUGUAGGCUGUGGGGAGUUAGUUUACCUGGUAGCUUCAUCAUUUGCUCCUUCAUGAUGCCUGGCCCAACACAAGAGGGCAGCGUAAAGCUUGUUCACUGCCUCAUUGGAGCUGAAAGACUUCUUCUUGUUGUAGUCAAUGAAUGGAGACCUUUGAGAUGCCGCGAGCCUUAUUACCGUCCUCUGUCUUCAUGCAAUAGGUGGUCCUGAAGAACAGCUCGUGUCAGCUUCUGGUUCUGCGCAUAUCGGGGUGUGGCAAUUCUCUGGUGAUCCAACAUCUAGCUCUUGAGCUAUUGCCUUGCCAGCAUCAGCAGCAGCGCAUCCUUCAUUCACAGCUGCUGGGUCCAACUCACACUCAUCAAUACUAAUCACACCGGCUUCCGCUGUUUCUGCUGCUGGAGCAGGUGCUGGAGCAUGACCAUCUAUGCCGAGGUCAAAAGAUGGUGCAUCACAGAACCCGUCACCAUGAUAAGACUUUAAUCUUCGUAUGGGUUCAAGGACUAGGGCAUCUCCUUGCGGCACAAACAUGGGUGCAUCAUUCACUGACUUGGUUCGUGAUAGUGUUGUAGUUGGCAGCCUUGGAGGCUUGCACCUACUUAUAAUCUUGAACACCUCCUCUUGUGUUAAUGGUUGCUGAAAGUCAGCUCUUGGUGAUGCAGGCUUGCUUGGCUGUUGUGUGCUGGCUCUUGGGGACGGCAAUUUGGUAGUAGGAUCACCUCCUUUUGUGUUUGGCAUUGAAGCAUCUCUAUGAGUAGGCACUUUGGGGCUUGCAGUUGCAGUGGUGCCUUCCUGAGCAGAUGUGGUGGUUUUGACUAUGACCACGCUGCUAACUGACACAUCAGUUGGCACACUGGUAUCUGUAGUUGGCAUCUUUCCAGUCUGAGUUGGCAGCAACCUAGCAGAACUUGGCACCCCUGCAUCAAUGGUUGCAGCUCGCAGUUCUCUCUCGUCUCUGAACCCCAAAUCUUUUGUGGCCUGUUCCCCCUUUGUGCCGCUGGCAAACUUGACAAUCUUUUGUUGCUUAGGUGGUUUUGGUGGGACUGUUGAAAGGGGAGUCUUCCCCUUGAUCUGUUGAACUCCUGUUAUGGUGGUUGGCUCUCUGCUCACUACAGUUGGCAUAUCAGUUUGAAGCACAGCUUUCUUGACCAUAUUUACUUCAGCAUCUGCACUCACCAUCUUCUCCUUGGUUUGAGGCAAAUGUAGAUUCUUCUUCAUUGAAACUUCUUUACGCUUCUGGACCACGUGAGGGUUUGCCAUGGAUGCUACCUUGCUCUUGCCGGAGCUUAGGUCUCGAAGCUGCUUCAAAUAUUCCUUGUAUUUUUCCUUUGAAUGAACCCAGUCAAGACCCUUUCCUGCUUUCUCCAUGUCAAUUUGAUUCUUUUCAGCAACACUUGAUAAGAACGGGCUCUUGUCAAUGGCAACGUUGAUCUUCUCACACAUAUCUUGGUCGCUAAAAUAUGGCACAGGAAAGGUGGUUGGCAAAGCUGGCUUCAAGUUGCAGAGCUUGAACAUAUCAAUGCUGCACUGGGACUCUGCUUCGUCAUUUUUCUUUGACUUCGGCAAAUCCUUGUCUUCCAGCAAGUUUUGUCAAUUAGCAUCUGUAGUGUGCUCCUGCUACUCAGUGAAUUGCUGCUGCUGGCAGGAGUGGCAGAAGUGCUAGUCCUACUGGAUGUGUUGCCGCCUGUACGACCAGAACCAGGGGCAUUGUCAUCAUCAUCAUCAUCGCUGCUGUCGCUGCCUCCACUGGAUCCCCCUUUAUCAUCACCAUAACCCACCUCGUCUUCUUCUUCAUCAUCUUCUUCCCUCUCACUGCCAUCAACUGCUGCACCUUUGUCCCCGUCCACCUCUUUGGCCUCACCUUCUUCUUCCUCCUCCUCUGCCUCACUAUCUUCUUCCUUGUCCUCCUCCUCUCCUUUGUCCUCUUCUUGUUUGUCCUCCUCCUCCUCCUCCUCCUCCUCUUCCUCCUCCUUCUCCUCCUCUUCCUCCUCCUCUUCCUCCUCCUCCUCUGCAUCUUCUUCAUUGUCAUCCUCAUCCUUGUCCUCAUCCUCUGAUUCAUCCGCAUUUGUGUCGUCGUCAUUGUCAACAUCUAUCGCUGCUUCCAUUUCCUCAUCUUCUUCUGACUCAUCCUCAACAAACUCUUCUUCUUGUUGUAUAAUUGACCCCCGUCUCUUUCUUUUUGGAGCACGGCGUGACGCCCCGGUUUGCAUUGAUGGCUGCUGUACGUAAGGAUCAAUAUCCGGUUCCUCAUCAUCAAUCUUGGCAACUGCUUCAAUGAAGGUGCCAACCUGUUCAGUUACAGCCUUGCACAGGUCAUUGACCACUUUCGCAAUCUUUGCCUUUUUCUGCAUCAACACAAAAAAAAGAUUCAAUAUUGAUUCAGUUAGAAAAAAUUAAAAAGUAAAAUGUUUGUAACUGACCAUGAUGUGAUAAGCAAAAACCGACUAAUACACACUUUUUGGCCAACUAAAAACAUGAUUCUAGCCAACUACACAUGCACUGUGGCACAAACUAAAAACAUGCAUUCUACCCAGUUGAUGUCAAUGGUUGUAAACGAACACUUUGACUGUCAAAAAGAACAUGUGCAACUAUAGAAGCUUAUAUGUGCAACUGAACAUACAUCACAACCAACUGAAUCCUUUAUUCUCGCAACUACAAAAGUUAUACAUGUCCAACUGAACAUACAUCCCAGCCAAAAGAAAAUGUUGGUAAGUGGUACAAAUUUAUGUAUGCAAAACACUAACCUGCGGAUUGUAGGUUAUUGGUAACUUGGAUGCCACGAAUGCUUCAGCUUGCAAAAUUCCACCAAACAGUGGUGUCUGCUCCGUGCCUCUAUACUCCUCUUUAAGCUGAUGUAAAAAAACAGAAAAAGAAAAGAACAAGGUUAUCAAAACAAAUUUUUGUGUUAAACAAAACCAAACAUUAUAACCUGUGCAACUACAACAAGAUACUAUGGUAGACAAUUCGACUAUACAUAUAUGCAACUGAACAAAGAUACAAAAACUGUGCAACCCACAUGGCACCUAAAUUUUUUUUCUACCAACUGAUGCCACACAUCUAUGCAACAAGAUUAGUAAAACUGUGCAACUUAAAAAAGAUGGUGUGCCAAUUUAAAAUGAACAUGUGUGCAGAUGCCAAACUUAAAGCUACAAGCUGUGCAACUACAUGAAUUGUUGUGCCAACUGAUGACAGUUUUUGUGCAAUUUCCAAAAAAGUGACUAGACAUCAAAAGAACAUAAAAAAAGAGACUGUUGGAAAAAAACAAAGAGAACUCACUUGUAAUUUGCCGAACACACCAGGAGAGACGGUAUCAUUCUUCAUCACCUUGGCAAUUAGAGUACCAUCCCAUGCAUUCGGUCGCAUCGCGCAGUUGCUUACUGGGAUGUCAUGGACAAGCGCAUCAAGGUAUAGUAUCUUCACCAGACCCAACAAAAGAAAAGCCAAGUUCAGUUAUUAUUAUGAGUAUUUCAGCAAACUAUAACUGCACAAAAAGAAAAAGAACAGAUGGAAGUGGUCGUUUUCACUAACCAUCAAGUGAUACAAGCAGCAGCAAACAGUUUGCUUCUCCUGGUCCAUGUUCCGGAAAGCUUCGUUAAUGUGUUCUGCUACAAAAAGGCAGAUGUUUGUGUUCUUGAGGUUUUCAUGAUCAAGGCCGUGGUUGGUGCUAAGAAAGUGUUGAAGGCAACUACAAGCCAGGCCAUAAAGAAUGUGUCAUCCGUUCUUCCCCCCAUAUCCUUAAUCAUCGUGGUCCAUGUACUGAUCUGGGGAUGAGAAGUUCCAGUUAUGUUGAAGGUCUCUCUGAAUCUCCUAGUUGUUUCCUUGUCAACUUUGUAACAGACUUUUAGACCCCUGUUAGGAAGAUCAAAUACCCUUUGAACACUGUCAGCAUCGACACGGAUCCUUCCCCUUCCUAGGAAAACCAUUUCAGAGGUCUGUGGCUGGUAGGACUGCACCAGGAACUUAGUGAGGUCUGCUGGAAGUGUGUCUGACAAGUUCAAUAGCCCCCCGAACAAACUCUAAACUAGCUCUGACUUCUGUGGUGGGGUUAGAGAGGCGUUGAAAUUUGCAAACCGCGCUGGUGAUGCCCUUAUCCUGCCUGCUUGUGAUGGUCGCUCCACAUCUUCCCCUGCAGCCACCUCAACUCCUUCACCGCUGGCCUGUUAAUGAGAAUAUAAAAACAUUAAGGAAACAUUAAAAACAAGAGAAAAAAUAAGAAUGAAAAAAAAAUCUAACAAUCAUCAUUUGGAUCAGUAUUGGAAAAAGCUAUAUAUUCAUAAAAUGGAUCAUGCCAACUAAUAUGGUGUAUUUGUGCAACUAAUAAAGACCAUGAGGACAACUAAAGACUGCCAGUGUGCAACCUUCAAAAAAAACUAAGAAAAUAUACGAUACCUGGCAACUACAAAAAGUUCUAACGGAUGUGCAACAAUAAGAAAUGAUAUUGCAACAAGAUAACAACAACUAAAAAAAGGUUUGCAAGGAACUGUUCAAUAGCUCAUAAACACACAAAAAAACCACAUACCUCAGCAUCCGUUGCGGAAGAUGCGACAGGUCCUCCAGCAACUGUUGCCUGCACAAAAAAAUGACCAGUGAUGUCAACUAUAAAGAAGCCAACUUGUCAACUACAAGAUGCCAACUAAUGCCAACUAAUGUCAACUGUAUUUAGAUCAAGAUGGCUAGAGAUGUCAACUACAAGGUUGUUAUUGACAAACUAAAAACAAAAAUGGUGGUGAGACCUGCUGCAUAAUUUCAUCAGCGUCUAAAAAGCGAGAAACACUUAUAUUCGAGAAUUUACUUGCCCUAGAAGAUGACUCAACUCCCUUUCCAACUGUUGCACGUCUAGUCCGCUUUACAACACGGAACUGAUCAGCAUCCUAAGAAAAAAUAAAAAACCAAAAAAUGGGCUUGUGUCAUCAGCAUGCCACUUACCUCAACAUCCUCUCCUUGCUCAACACUCCGCGCAAGUCGUGCCUGGCGAUUAGGAGGACGCUUCGACCUCCAGCGAAGCGACUGACUUCCAGAACGCUGAUUAAGCAACCCAAAAAGAAAACAUGAAAAAAGGACAUUAGCAUACAUGCAUAAGUUGAAAACAACUCAAAAACACAGAAAAAGUGAAAAAAAAAGACAUCUUCUUCAUUGCCAUCCGCUUCUCCUCCUAUUAUAACCAUUUUUGCCCUGCAGGAGGAAAUAUAACAAAAGAAAACAUAGUUAGAAGAUGCGGAAACAAACUAGGGAAAUCAUAGAAGGUUGCUUUGAUUUGCAGACAUCUACACAUAAGCAGGACACAAAAAGCAAAAAACCAAAAAACAUGUGGACAACCAACUACUACAAUGAUGUAGCCAACUGGGCAGUAAACCUUGUGCAAACUAGACAACAUAUAAACCAACUAACUAUUUUCUGCCUAGGUCUUACUUGCCAACUGUGACAAGUAAUAACUAGGCAGAAAAUAGUUAACUAAAGGCAACAAGCUCAGUAAGAUAACUUGUGCAAACUGGAACAAGCAAAAAAUGCAAAGCAAAAAAUCCAGCAAAACAAUUGGGCAUACUAUAUUGAAAAAUUAGCAACCAUUCAGUGCUAAUUUGCAAAAAUAAUUGUCCCUAGUUGCACAUGAGGGGAACGCAUGAAAACAACCACAUCCACAACAAAGACUUGCACAUUGAGAAAAAUUAAAUUGGAAAAUUGGCAAGUAUUGGUACUAAUUUGCACAAUCAAGGGGCCCCUAGUUGCACAAAGCAGGAGAAAGCACAUGAACCACCACAGCCACCAUAAUGCUGGUGGAUAGGGUAGACUAUAUUGGAAAACUGGCAAGCAUUGAUGCUAAAUUGCACAGACAAGAGUCCCUAGUUGCACACAGCAGAGGGGGGAAAACAGCAAAGCCAACUAAGUAGAGCAACUAGCACAAAGUGUAUAACAUAUGAACAGUCAACUAGUAAAAGUGAUGCAGCCAACUGAGCAGGCAACUUGUGCAAUUGAAUACCGUAUAGACAACCAACUAGUACAAACAGUGAGCCAACUGACCAAAACAACUGCUGCAACUGCAGAGCAUAUGGACAGCCAGGUACUAUAUGGACGCAGCCAACUGAGCAGAAUUUUGUGCAACUAACCACUUGAAUUACUGAAUCAUGAACUUGCAGGAUCAGGGAAAAUCAGCCAAUGCAUUGCACAUUACAUUGCGCGCAUCUAAUACAACUUGCAGGAUGACUAAGAAUCAUGAACAGAUCUCAAACCUCUGCAAAAUUGAACAGAACAUGAACUAAACAGCCAAAUCGCCCUAAAAUCGCAACGGGCGCCAUGGACAUGCAUCCCUUCUACCUAACGACUACCACGUACCCUGGCCAACUACACGUUGACCCUGGCUAGCCACCCCCGUGCCGUCAAGGGAGUACUAAUUUGCACAAGUGAUGAUAUCUAUUUGCACACGGCAGAAUAAAAAAACACGUGGACCACCACAUCCACCACAAGGCUGGCAGAUUGGGUACACUAUAUUGCAAAAAAUGGCAAGCCUUGGUGCUAAAUUGCAAACAAGGGUUCCUAGUUGCACACAGCAGCGGGAAAACACACGAACCACCAGAUCAAUCACAAAGGAUGGCAGCUUGGCUAGUUAAUGUUGGGAAAUUGGCAAGCAUAGAUACUGAUUUGCACAAAAAAAUGGUCCCUAAUUGCACACAGCAGGGAAAAACACAUGACCCAGGAGAACCACCACAAGGCUGACACAUGGCUAUAUUGUCUCAAAAAUUGUCUACUGCUGCUCCUAUUUUGCACGCAAGGGGCAACACAGUUGCACACCGCGGGGGGAAAACACUCAUCAAAAACACCAGAUCCACCGCGAGGCUACAAUCCACAAACGAACCUCUAUGGCCGCUAACCAAUCAUCCUCCCUGAACCACUCAUCCCGUACGUAUAUACACGAACUCUCCCCCUAUUGCAAUGCAAAAACGACGGGAUGAGCACGACCCUAGCCCAUCCCUGCCAAUCCGGCGGUUUCCCAAACGAAGUAGUCCGCGGGGGUGACCUCAACCUCGCCGGAAAAUGAGUUCGACCUUCCUACCCCCGACCGUGACCUCGAGUUCGACCUUUACCUCGACCUCACCGAAAAAUGUGGGACCUCACCGGAAAAAAGGAGGGGAUGGGGACGAGUACCGGGGAACGCAUGGUAGGAGCAGUACCUGUGCCGCCGCGGACAACGACCCUCGCGGUGCGCCCCGCCGUUGACCACAACCAAUGGCGGAUUUGGAGCCGCCUCCGAGCACCAACCAGCGGCGAGAGCAGGGGGAAAGAGGAGGAAUGGGCGGCGACAGGUGCGGGGUGGACGGGGUAAUGGCACGAAAUUCGAAACCGCCACCCACUACGCACGACGGCUAUCACGCUGGGGAACUGCCUAAUCCUCUAUGACGUGUGGGUCCGUCGGGAAGUUUAUCUCGCGCGGCGCGGCUCGAUCGGACCAGGCGAUCGGUCCACGCGCGGUCCGAGCGGCGCGGCUCCACCACCCGACCAGGGAACACCUGGACAUCGCGCGCCGUCGAUCGGAACGAGAUCGAGCGGCUCUCGUUCGGCCGCUCGUUCUCUCUAGAUAGUGCGCGUGUAUUUUUUAGGUUUUGGGAUAAAUAAACUGUGAGAUGCUUUCACGGUGGGCCUUUGCCCAUCCCGUACUAUUCCACUCCACCGCCGCCAUCCAUCUCUCAUCCCAACCUACCUAUUCCAGCCGCCUCCAAGCUAUGGAGAAGCCAGUGAAGGUGCCGAUGUCCAGGCUCACCGACGACCUAAUCGCGGAGAUCCUCUCUCGGGUGCCCUACAAAUCACUCUGCAUCUGCAAGUGUGUGUGCCCGGCCUGGCGCGACCUCAUCGCCGACCCCGCGCACCGGAAGAAAGUUGUGCAGACCCUGGCCGGCUUUUUCUACCGCAUCACCGGCGAGGUCACGGCCGUCAAGUACGCCGACCUGUCCGCCUUCCCCUGGUCGAGCGUUCCCAAGACCUACCCACGCCUGCCACUGCCAACUGACAACAAUUUCUUCUCUCUUGAGGAUUCCUGCGAUGGAUUGUUUCUUGCCCGCAUUCGGACGGGCACCCCUGCUGGAAAAUUUCGCUACAUGGUCUCCAAUCCGGCCACGAAUGAGUACACUGUGCUGCCUGACUCUGGCUCCGCCGGCAACAUCUGCCUUGCUUACCUGGGUUUCGACAGUGAUGUUUCCACUCAAGAGUUUCAUGUGUUCGAGUUUGUACUGGUCCUCCGUGAGCCAUCCCUGGUUGUGAGGGGAGUGAAUAUUUACUCUUCAAAAACUGUUGCAUGGGUAGCAAUGGAACCCAAAUGGGACAUCCAAGUUACGUUGUGCUGGCGUAAACCAGGAGUUUUCCGUAAGGGGUUUCUGCACUUGCUGAUAGGUCAGUUUGGGUUGGCAAUACUUGAUGCAGAAGGGCUAACAUGGAGAAUUAUCCCGCUUCCAGUUGUAGAAAGUGUUAAUCCGUGUUUCUCCGGAUUCAUUGGAAAGUCUGCCGGACAGCUAAUUUAUAUCGACCGCGGUGCUAUUGAAGGACACGGCUCUAAUGCAUUGUUGACUAUAUCAGUUUACGUUCUUGGUGCUGAGAUAUGUCAGUGGGAUGUGACUCACCUGGAUGACAAGUGCAUGCGUUGGAAACUCUUGCACAAGCUUUCAAAUGUACUCCGAAGAAGAUGUUUCGGCUCUGUUUCAACCUCGAAGUCAUUGCAGUACACCCACAUGCCAAUAUAAUCUUCUUUGUAGCUCAUUGGAAGAAUGAACUGGUUGCAUACGAUCUGGAUCGUCAUGAGAAGCACAAUUGUGUAUCACAUUCACAUUGAGCCUAACUACUGGCAGUUUAUGAAUUUUUUCCCAUAUGUUCCAUCGUUGUCCCGCUUACCACUGGAUGGAGGAAUACAGCUGGCAACUCCAAAUCAAUGAAUGUUCUGCUCAUUAAAAGUUGGGCAGUCAGCGGUGAGGUGCUCCGGUGUGUUCUCAAGAGUAAUCUUCACAGAGAUUCAAAUACAGAUGAUAUUGUUUUGGAAAAUGCUAACUUCAGUUUUCAGUUCAGUUGGAAAAUGCCAACAAGUAGAGCUGCAUGAGAUACCUUAGUUUGUUAUAUUUUGACAUGUACUACUACUACCUUGUAUUUCUAUUAGAAUCUUAUGUUCUGAUAUGAAAAGGCAUAGUCUGAUAUGUGCACAUUCAAUCUGCAUUGGUUGGUUCUAUCUUGGUGUUUGCACUAAGNNNNNNNNNNNNNNNNNNNNNNNNNNNNNNNNNNNNNNNNNNNNNNNNNNNNNNNNNNNNNNNNNNNNNNNNNNNNNNNNNNNNNNNNNNNNNNNNNNNNNNNNNNNNNNNNNNNNNNNNNNNNNNNNNNNNNNNNNNNNNNNNNNNNNNNNNNNNNNNNNNNNNNNNNNNNNNNNNNNNNNNNNNNNNNNNNNNNNNNNNNNNNNNNNNNNNNNNNNNNNNNNNNNNNNNNNNNNNNNNNNNNNNNNNNNNNNNNNNNNNNNNNNNNNNNNNNNNNNNNNNNNNNNNNNNNNNNNNNNNNNNNNNNNNNNNNNNNNNNNNNNNNNNNNUUAUAUUCAUAGAAGUUUGCAUACGUAUGAAGCAUAUAUUGUGAUCACGCUGUCUCAAAAGGCUGAGAAAUGUCAAUGUUGAUGAUCCGUAAUCCUAGCUGGUUUAUAUCUGUCUCACAAAAUGGUCAAAAUCUCCUAAUAGGACUUGGAACCGUUUCUUGCUCCAUUUUUUCUUCUUCUAAUGGCUCCAAAUUCCAUGUCUAGAGUAUGUAGUUACGUUUUCCUGUCCUCUUUCGAUCUUUCAAUUUUGUUGGUCUGUGAUAUGAUUCCACUAUGAGAGGCACUAAUAUCUUCCCCCCUGUAAUUAACUAGUAUGUUCCAGUUCCAUCAGUUUGAGAUGAAAGUGUAUCCCUGAUUUGAAGCUUUUUACUAUUCACCAACCAAUAAACUAAAUAUUUUAGCCCUCACCUAUGGAAUCUUCGUCUAUAUCUGAACCUGACUGUUUUUGCUAGCAGCUUUCAAGAUUCUAUGUGCAAAAUGAAAGGUCCUAGUCCAUCUUUCUUUGGCUAACCAGAGUAGUUGCCUUGUCUCUACCAGUAUCAAAACAGACAGUGUAAUUUGCACUAUGCUGAUCACUCAGAUGUGGAGUAGAAUUAAUCAUUUCAGGGACAUGUUUAGUACAAUGAUAGAAUUAUUUUUUCCCAGUAGAUAAGCAUGUCAAUGUGUAUUCCGCUGAAUAAUGUGAAGCAUAUUGGCUGCUAAACCUUGCAUGCCCUCUAUUCCCUCUAGUAAUUAUCUACGGUUAUAUCCUCACUCGGACAGAAUUUUGUUAGCUCUAUGCUAAUUCUGUAUAAAUAAUGGUUACCAAUAUUCAUGUGAAGUUCUUAAAAGUCUUCUGUUGAGUCAAUUCUUGAGUAACGUAUAUAUACAAAUUUAGAGAAUCAUUACCUGUUCUUCUGUAGCCAUCUCUGCCUUGCUGUGAGGUGGCAAGAGGCAGUUUUCUUUAUGUUGGGUUGUUAUUCUGUUUUGCAGACUCAAAUAAGCAGCGUAUCAGUUACACGAAACCUCAGAUUUGACGCAGACCUCAUUGGUUGGCUGCCAAAGCCGUGGGGUUAGUUUGCUUAGUACACUCACUACAUAGUUUUUAGCUUUCUCUGCUGUGCUUUUCUCGCCUUUUUCUAUACAGAUCAAAUGUCUCAUACCUUAUCUGUUUUUUCUAAUUAUUUGCUAUCGCUGCAGUGCAGCGAUUUUAGACUGAUCUAAGCCCAGAUUAUGCUGUGGAAGACAGAUUCAUCAGAGGUUGCCUGAUCUAAGCCUAAUCUUCUACCCCUUUCAAGCACAGUUAGUGUUCGGAUGCCAGUCGGCGGAUGCAUCGGCCAAGCAUCAAUCAGUUCACUUCCAUCAGCAGGCUACGUUAGCACGGCGACUUCGUCGAGAUUGUUGGAUGGGUACCCACAGACUACGAAGCCCAAGAAACAAUGGGUAAACUCAAAGUCUGUAUAAUGUUGGUGAAAUUUGGGGACAUAAAUAAACUUAAGCAAGGCGAGUCGGCCAGGCAGUGGAUGACUAUCACCCCGCAGCAGCUAAGCAGGAAACGCUGGAUGGACCGCACCAUGCCGCCGUUUCCGUAUAUACAGAUGCAGAGCAAGAUGAAAGCUGCAGCCUCUCGUUCUGGCUACAUCGCAGAUUCAGAGAAAUAUUUGCUGGCUCUUAAUACGACACCUCAUAUUUGGCAAUAGUGACAACUUUAGAAAGACCUGUUGUUGGUGACGACGCUGAAUAGGUGCCAUCUGAUCCACGGCGUUCUUCGUGGCAAACACCGCAGCGCCGGACACGAGUCAGGUUUGAAGACCCUGUGUGCAUGCCUACGAGCUGCAGAUGCUUCAUGUGGCUAGCUGCCAAUAUUAGAUGCUGGACAGCGGAUAUGCUUCGACGCCGUGGGCUUUCAGCGACCAGCUGCCGGAGACGAUGUCACAUUUGCUGCUUGGCUUUGUCGUCGUGCGAGAGGUCUGGCAUUCCGUCCUCCACGAACGGCAGCAUAUGGAGUCGAUGUCUGACCACGACUAUAAGCUGAUUUACAUGGUGAACAACACAGUCAACGCGACGAAGGGAUGCAAGAGACAUGUGGAUAGCCGUCCUGUCUGGCAGUGCGGUGAAUGAUGUGAUCUUCAAUGACGUGGAGGUUUAAGGAGGCAUUGCUGUCUAUACCUACAAGAAGAGAAUGUGGACAUUUUUGUCUUGAGGAACUGGGUUUAGCUUUGACAGAUUUUGCUGUGCAACCGUGCCACUGUUCAACUCUGAGUAUAGUCUGUUGUCUGAACAAGUUAGCAGGAGCAUAGUCGGCACCAGAAGAUUUGGCAAAUAACUUCAGAAAUCUUGAUUGAACAUGGAUAUAUUAUUUCCUGGAAGGUAAGUCUAUAUAUUCAACAAGUUAGUAGCUGCAUGAUUGAUAAAGAGAUGUGGGCAUAUACUAUUGUUAUCCUGAUUCUAAGUUCUAGACAAUAUACUUCAACAGCUGGAGCCAUAUCAUUAUGUACAUAUAGCCACACUUCACACAUGCAAAUCAAGCUGUUUGGUUACUGCUCAGACAAGUCAGUCAAGCUCUUGCUCUACAACUAUGUCCCUGAUGGUAAUCUACAGGAGCUCCUCAGCGAGAACAGGAGCCUGGACUGGGAUUCAGGGUGGACACGGUCCGGGCCGGUCCGGUCCCUGACCGAGCCACCGUUUGGACCGGCCGCCGGCGGUCCGGACCGGACCGGACCGACCAGCCUCGCGGUCCUGGUUUCAAGGACCGGACCGGCGGCACUGAAGCCCGGGCCGGACCGAGCGGACCGGCCAACCACUACCAGCGACGACGUGCACGGGUGCACGGGUGCGCUGGCAAGGUGGGCGACGUGCGCACGACUGUGGCGAGAUGGGCGACAUGCGAUAGCGCGGGCGUCGAAGGGCGACCUGCUAUGGAAAGUGAUCUGGGUGGCGCGGCUGUUAGCCAUUAUUUUCUCUGUACCGUGAUGUUUCUUCCUUUGGCAGUUUUUCUACAGCAUGCAAGCAAUAUAGCACCUGCAUGAGCCCGUGAUUUUCUCUGUGAGGGCCUCGCCGUGAUUAGAGGAUCAAAUUGAACGUGGAGUUGAUCGUCAAAUGGCGCCGUGACUUUCGGAUCAGAUCCUUUUUCUCUCUUACUUUCUAUUUUCUGUUCGACUGAAACGGCAGCACGGGAUUGAUGGCGCGUGAUAAUAGGAAGAGGGCCCUAGUAUUAAAUCUUGGGCCUUCCAAAACAAUACUUUCCUGAUUUAUUGGAUGUGAAAAUCAUGACCGAGUAUUUCCCCCACGAUUCGAAAAUCACGAGAGAGUGUUUCUCCCACGAUUCGACUGGGCUGAAACGGCUGCUAUGGCACUUCGUCUGCACUGCAAAAAGCGUUGCCAUGGCAGGAAUUGCUGCCACGGUUGGGUCGAUGACAUGGUCGAGAACUCGAGAUCGGCGGCAGUUCACGCAUGGCAGCGAUGGCGAGCGGCAGCAAAAGGCUACGUCGCAAGGGUACGAGAGGAAGGAAGAAGAAGGGAAGCUCAUGGACAUGGUGGUUCAUCCAGGGGCUGCCGGUGGCCGCGAUGGCGAGGAACGGUGACUGCGGUGAUCGCGUUUUCUCGGUCCGCUCGGUCGGACCGGUUAAAGACCGGACCGGACCGAGAUUUUUUCGGGCCGAAUAUGGCAGCCCGGACCGCCCCUUUUCGCUAGCGGGCCAGGACCGAGCGGGCCAAGACCGAGCGGGCCACGAGCGGGCCAGAAAGACCGCUCGUUACGUCCACCUCCGACUGGGAUACACGGUACAAGAUCGUGGUCGGGGCAGCACUGAUACUCUACCGGGAUGUCAAGUGCGACAACAUCCCACAUAACCGACAUCAACACACAUACGAAAGUAAGCACGUCGAUAGAAAGUAAAGUCAUACAAGACCGAGCUUGCCCACAUGAAAAAAAAACCGAUGCCAUCGAAACAACGAUUGACAAAAUGCAACAACGACCUAAUUGAACCGGGUGCUUAUCUCCACUGAUCUUGGUUUCUCAGUUGGUUUUGCUGAUCAGGCAUGGUAUUGUUUGGGCAGACUGGGUGAUGAUGUAGAGGGUGGUUAAAGGGAGUGGAUUCGCGAAAGUGCUCUUCUGAUCCCGAGCUUCAUGUGAGCUCGGGUGAACAGUAAAUGGAAAAAAAAUCUGAUUUUUUUGUUCCAAACAUUGGCAAAUGUUUUCAUUGCUUGCAAAAUUUUAUCAUGAAAUGACAUUCUUGAAAUUUGUGUAAAAAAUGAUGCUCCAAAAUACUUUUGAAAAUGAAAUUGCUGCUCAUAACAAAGCUCCAAAUUAGGGAGGUAGAAAAAUAGAUUGCGGUGAGUGUGGAUCGAACACAUGACCUUCAGAUCUUCAGUCUGACGCUCUCCCAACUGAGCUAUCCCUGUUAUAGCCUGUUGUCUAGGUGCAUAGUCUGCACCGGAAGAUUUGGCAAAUGGCAUAGAAAUUCUUAUUGAACAUAGAUAUAUUGUUCUUGGAAGGAAAGUAUAUAUAUUCAACAAGUUAGUACCACCGGUUGCCCCAACACAUGUGCAUCUGUAGCACCAACAGCUGCUCAUCUGUUGUCAUGCCAUCUCGCAACGACUAUAUGCAUCUGUAGUAAUUCUGACAGAAGAAGCAAUACAUUUUUAUCAACAUGAAAUUUGUUUGGUAAAAUCCAUGAGAACUUCAUCAGUAACCAAUUGAUUGAUACCCCACAUAUGACAAGCAAGCGUGUUCCUUUCCAAAAAACUUCAAAAUGGACAUCACUUUUUCAUGAGUUCUUUCGGGAGUAAAGUAAGGUAAGGUCUUUGGUCACCAUUUACCUACCAUUUUAGUUAGUUCUACAUGUACAACUGAUUCAGCAACUCGAAAGGAAUUCUUUAAAAGGAAAUCAGUUAAGCAACUCGAAUGAAUCCAUCAUGCAUUGGUCUCAAAUCCAAGGAAAUAUGAGCAAAACCUCCCAAAUCUAAACAAAGCACCGAACAUCUUUCAGACGGAAAUUAACUCUUUCAGAACCUUUCAAAAGAUGACAUAUCAAGGAUCAAAAUCGACCACAUAGAUUGAUGACCAAGACUUUAUCCAUUAGUCUGGAUGCCUCAUAUGAUGAUAAUUCCAACCAUGGAACCACAGGUGUGGUGAUCCGUGAUAGCCCACGUACUCUUAUUCAUACACAUGCCCUCUGGUAUGAUUUUGCUGCUAGUCCAAUGGCGACGGAAGCUGUGGUGAUGUGCAAUGGAGUGCACAUGCCUCUUGAGAGGGGGUUAUGUAGAGUAAUGAUUUAGAGUGAUGCACAAGCUGUCAUCAAGCUAUGGGAGUCAUGCGGCUUUGAUCGAGAUUGCUGGAGCCUUGCGGAUUGAAGAACUGAGUGUGCAUUUUGAGAGUUCUAUGCCGAGCUUUGUUGGACAAGAUGCUAGUAUGGCAGCUCAUCUAUGUGCUAAACUGGUGGCCAAGUUUAGGAAGAGAUGUUUAUGGCUUAAUUUUACCCCUCUACUCCUAAUGAACAUAUUGCAUUGUGAUUGUAUGCUUGAUUAAGUAAGCAAUAAAGCUCUUCACUCACAAAAAAGGUAGAAAUUGCAAUGCGGCCAUCCCAGCAUAUCAAAACAUUUCUGGUUGUGGCGAUGACCUUUCUUUUCCAUAUGAUCCUACAAAAUGGACUGGGUUUCACUAUCAAGGGAUAACGAAACGACAAAUGCACAAAAACGUCCUGGUGCAAGAACAUAGCCUAAAACUGGUUUCAAUUGCUAACAACAAAAGCUAAUGGAUCCAAAUCUACUGCAAGUUGACUUGGGGUUCACAAUCAUCCCAAGCAAAAUGUUUUCGAUCACUAGCAUCAUCAUUCAGAAAACUCCAUUGCAUCGUUCCUCAUCCAUUCUUUCUCCAUUAGUUCACCUUCACCCACUUCUUGUUCCUCAUUUUCUCCAGCGUUACUCGCCUUGAUCUUCAACACAAGACUUCUUGGCUCCGCGCACCCACCAACAUGAUGUGCCAAUGCUUCUCGCUUCAAAGCAACAACACCUUGUUCCAGAAUCACACACUCUUCAUUAUUUUGUAGAUCUGCCCAAUAAAGCAUAAACAUGCAUGCAUAAUAGACGAAUUCAGCAAGAAAUCUAGUAAUUUUUUUCUCAAAACAAGAUCUAUUACAUAACUCGGAUGGGAAUGUAGUGGCUUAUCGUGAGGGUGAUGCACUCAUGGACUUGUAGUAGAGCUGGUAGCUGCCACGACAGCUUCCCUAUAUGUGGGUGGCCUUGAGGCAGGCGUCGUGGAGGGGCAUCUCUCCUCCAUCUCCUAUUAGGUCACAUCUAUGGAGUCCCUCAGCGUCUACCAUGACGUUGCUAUCAGGUCCCAUGGCUAUGGCUACUUCAAGUUCCACUCACAGAAUGAUGAUGAGAUCUGAUCUAUUAGAUCCCCAAAUACCUAAAGCAUU